rnacentral:lncRNA from 1 species
GUUUUCUUAAGAAAACAAGGGAUAAGUAAAGGACCCACUAGUGUAGUGGUAUGAAGUAUUUACUUCCUCAGGCAAGAUUUUGGGUUGGAGUCCUAGCAUCCGUGUAGUAUGUGUGAGUUUAGUAUGCUAUCGCCCCUUUUAAUAGGAAAGGUCCUCAAAAAAAAAUAAAAAAAUAAAAAAAUAAAAAAUAAACCAAGGGAUAAGAUUGCUAGCCGGCUUUACUCUAGUAUAAACAGGUUAUUACAGACUCAUGUAUUCAAUUUUUUAUGCAUGUAAUUCCGGACUUUAGUCUCUACAGUUUCUUUUAGGAUAGUUUACCCAGAACUCAAUUAUCUUCAUUCUAACUUCUAUUCUAUAGCUUUAUCAUUUUAUUAUAUGUAUUUUGGGACUGGUUGGGUUCACUAGACAACAACUUAUAGACCCUACCCUGCAUCAAAUUGGUACCAGAGGCUAGGAAAAUCCUUCUUUCACACCAUGAUUGGUCAUGGUAGAGGUUGUGGACAAGGGAACUAAGCCCAACACAGAUAGAUGACUGAGAUGCAACUUAUAAUGGAAGAUAUGUCGAUAGCGGUGCAAGCCCUCCAAAGACAGAAAUUCACAGAUGCCUAUAUGGAGAUUCUGGAAUGCAACCAUGGUGAUGGUGAUCGAGGUGGAUUGGAAGAGCAGUUGGUUCGUGCAUUGGGUUUGAAUGGUGGAGGAAUUAAAAUUGAAGUUGUUGAUUUUUAUGGAAAUAUGCAUGUAGAGAUUAUUUAGAUUCACAGGCAAUUCUAGAGAAUGGAAACCUAUGGUAGAAGUGUAAGACAUUACAUUGUAAUAAACCAUAUUAGAAUGGAUUAGAACAGAACUCGAGAAUAUCUGCAGUUCUAGUUUAAAGUGCAGUUUAAUUAGAAAACUAGAGCUUUGAGGAUUCCUAAUCCUACAUGGAUUAAAACAUUCUAUCCUAGUGCAAUCAGGAUUUGUUUAAGUGUUCUUCUAUGGGCAAAAUACUUAAGCAAUGCAUAUAUAUAGAGGUCCCUUCCGUAGCAGUCAAGACACACUCAUAUUGAUAUCACCCCAUCUAGAGAAAGUUAAAGGAUUGCAUAGGAGAAGAAUAUUUAUAUACCUUCACCACAACCAUUUUUUAACAAAGUUAGAGUUAGGUUAUUAUGGGGAGAAGCAUUGAAAAUGAAAAAUUUUAUAUUGAAUAGAGUACCUACUAAACGUGUAAAUGCUAUCCCUUAUGAAGUUUGGGUUAAAAGAAAACCAAGUUUGAAUUACCUCAGAGUGUGGGGCUAUAAAGUUGAAGCAAAAUCAUACAAUCCUAUGGAAAAGAAGUUGGAUUCAAAAACAGUCAGUGGCUAUUUUGUUGGCUAUCCAAAAAGAACUAAAGCCUACAGAUUUUACUGCCCUCAAAAUACAACCAGAUUUGUAGAAACUCAAAGAGCAGUGUUUAUAGAAUCUAAAAAUGAGGCAACAGAAGAAGAAAAUUUCGAUUUUGAUGAAGUUAUAAUAGAAAAUGGAGACACAGUGAAUUCUAAUGCAGAUAACAGAAUUCUGGUGUUACCUAGCUUUGACUUGAGUAGCACGCAAUCUGUAUAGGAAGAUGAAAUAGUUGGAGAUCCAAUGAUACUUGAACAAGAAACUAAAGAACAGCAAGUUCUGCCACCAGAAAACACAAAUGAAAAUCAACCAAUAGAACAAAACCAUGAACAAAUGGACAUAGAGUUGGGAAGAUCACAAAGACCAAGGAAAAGAGCACUAGCUGAUGACUACUAUGUAUAUUUUCAAGAAUCUAAGCAUGAUGUGAAUGCAAUUGAUGAUCACAUGAAUUAUAUGCAAGCAAUGUCCAAUGAGAAAAGUGAAAAUUGGUGGGGAGCUAUGACGUCAUAAUUAACUUUAUGGAGAAAGAUGGUGUGUAGGAACUAGUGAACCUGCCACAAAAUUGCAAAUCUAUAGGCUGCAAAUGGGUUUUCAAAAUCAAGAGAAACCCUAAGGGACAAAUUGAUGGAUAUAAGGCAAGACUAGUUGCCAAAAGAUACACACGACAAGAAGGGAUAGAUUACAAUGAAAUCUAUUCACCAGUUUCAACUAAAGACUCAUUUAGAGUAAUCAAGGCAUUGGUAGCACAUUUCGAUUUACACUUACAUCGAAUAGAUGUAAAGACUGCAUUCUUGACAGGAAAUCUAGAAGGGGGAAUAAAUAUGAAACAACCAGAAGGUUUCAUUUAAGAGAAGGGAGAAAAUCGAUUUAUGGUCUUAAGCAAGCUUCUAGAUAGUGGUAUAUCAAAUUUACACGUGCUGCUGUAUGAUGGAGGAGUAUCAAGCAACCUCUCACAAUUGCAUCUACAAUGUUAGCAGCAUUCUUCGCCUCUUAUGAGGCUAUUUCUCAAGCUAUGUGGUUAAAGAAUUUUAUCACUAGAUUGAGAGUAGCUGAGUCUAUACAUAGACCCAUACAACUAUGUAAUGACAACAGUGCAGCAAUUUUGUUUGCAAAAGGAAACAAAAGGACAAAGGCUUCAAGAAUUCUGGAUGUUGAGUUUCUUAAAGUUAAACAACAGAUAAGAGAUGGGUACACUGGUUCGGAACACAUCAAUACAACAGAUAUGAUUGCAGAUCCUCGUACUAAAGGGCUGGUAAUUGCAGUUUUUCAUAUUCAUGUUCAAAGUAUGGGAUUGACAGAAAAUAUGAGUGGCUGAAUUAGUGGGAGUUUCAGUGGGAGUGUUUCUGUUUUAACUAGAGUUUUAUUAUUUAUAUUUUGAUUAACUAGUAAAGGUUUCGAUAGAUAUUCAGAAAGUUUGAGGAUUCAUAAAGUGGAAUUUUGUUGAGCUAUUUUACUGCUUAGUCUUUUUAUUUAUUUAUUUUAUGCUUGAUACUUGAAUAUACAUAUAAGGCAGUCAAGCUAGCAAUUGAUGUAGCUGCGAUGGUACAGUAUAUUCAUGGCAUUUGUUCAAUUUUAACUAGACAUUGGUAGUCAUUUAGGGGACUAUGAAUGAGUAUGACAUAUCUAUUAGCACAGACAGUUUAAUCAUGAACAUUCAACAAUUUUAAUCUUGAUCAAAGCCUUAUGUGGUUUUGAAGAAUCUCAAAUGUAAUUAUAGGAACCUUGAAAUAACAGAUGUUCAAGUAGUUUCAAUAAUUCUUUGUUGUUCUUCAUUGACAGUGGCUUAGUAGGGAUUUUGUUCAGUUAUGUUUCACAAGGCCUUAAAGUGUGUAAUGCAAUUAACAGUUGUGAUUAUUUGACCAAGUGGGAGACUGUAAGACAUUACAUUGUCUUAAACCAUAUUGGAAUGGUCUUCUAAUCACGUAAGGAGUUGCAGUUUAGUAUUAAUCAAGAAACAGAACUCGAGCAUAUCUGCAGUUCUAGUUUAAGGUGCAGUUUAAUUAGAAAAUUAGAGCUUUGUGGAUUCCUAGUCCUACAUGGAUUAAAACAUUCUAUCGUAGUGCAAUCAGGAUUUGUUUAAGUGUUCUUUGAUGGGCAAAAUACUUAAACAAUGCACAUAUAUAUAUAGAGGUCCCUUCCCUAGCAAUCAAGACACACUCAUAUUGAUAUCUCACCCCAUCUAGAGAGAGUUAAAGGACUGCAUAGGAAAAGAAGAUUACUACACCUUCACCACAGCCAUAUCUGACCAAGGUUAGUGUUUAAGUUCAAAGACAAUAAAGAAUUUACAAGAAGAUCAUAAGGUGUUUUUUUAAAGCUUAAAUUCAAGAGCACCGCACUUCAAUGGUGGAAGAGAGGUGAAGAGCAACGUGCAUGAAAAGGGAAGUAGAAGAUCAACACAUGUGAAAGCAAAGUUACGAAAGAAGUUUUUAACGGCUGAUUACACUAUGGAGUUAUAUGAAAGGUUUCAUAGCUUAAAACAACGAGAUACAUUCAUUGAAGAAUAUAAAUCAGAGUUUGGUAAUCUCUCAAUUCGAGUUGGUUUGAAAGAUAGUAAUCAAAAGAUGACACAAGUCAUUAUCUUUCAGGUUUGAAUAAGACCAUUAGCGAUGACAUGGCGGUGGGUGUGGUCCGUUUGUUCAACCUAGAAGAUGCUCGACACCAUGUGUUAAUGGAAGAAAAAAAGGUAUCAUGUUGUGGCAGUAGGGGAUAAUAUGGGUUGGCAAAGAAUACAGUUGGUCUUCAUAGUGUCCAAAGUGAUCAUGAAACCAAUCCAAGUACCAAAAUAAGGUGUAGGAAGUUGGUGGGUACUGAUAAGAGUGAAAAAGGGGAGAAAAAAACAACGUUGGUGUUAAAAAUUCCAAGGCUGGGAGUACUUCACAAGUUUGAUAUUUCAAUUGUGGAGAGGCAUGGCAUUUAUCUUACACUUGCCCACAAAGAAGAGUAAACUUGGCAGAGGUUAAAGGUGAUAAGACCAAUUUUUAAAACCCACUUAUGUUGUUUAAGGCAAGGAAGAGGAAGUUAGUGAUCUUUUACCGGUUAGAGGAAAAUCUUUGGUGGUAAGGCGGGUGAUGACAACUCCAAAAAUUGAGGGUCUUUAGCGUCCACAUAAUAUAUAUUCUGAACCGCCUUUGGGGUAGAAAUGUGUGCAACGUGAUUCUUGAUGGAGGAAGUAGUGAAAAUGUUAUCUCGAAGGAGGCAAUAAAAAAACUAAAGUUUCCAAUUGAGAAGCAUCCUAAUCCUUACAAGGUUGCAUGAUUUCGAAAAGGAAACGAAAUACCAGUCACUUCAAUGUGUUUGGUAAGUUCACUAUGGGUAAUACUAUUAGGGAUGAAGAUUGAUAUGAUGUUGUCUCAUGGAUGCAUGUCAUAUCCUAUUAGGAAGACCAUGGUUGUUUGACAAAGACAUGAUGCAUUCUACUAAAGCUAACACUUAUUCAUUAUAUAAGGAUGGGAGAAAGUGGACUUUGCAGCCGUGUGAAGGAGGAUUCUGCAAUGCUGCCAAAGAUGCCAAGGUUAAUGGUCAUUUGAGAGCCCAUUAGUGGGAAUUUGAGAGCAAGGAGGUGGGACCUAUGUUUGACUGUCUCCUAAUUUUAGAUAACCCUCCUAUGUUCGACUAUUGUUUGGAAGAAGACUGUGAAGUUUGUCUGAGAGUUGGGAAAGCUUUCGACAGGGUAUUUGGUAAGACUAAACAAGUUGAAUUUAGUGUUAUCUUUAAGGCAGGGGACCAAAAGGGAAGUUGGAUUUGAACUUUUGAAGCAACACAAUCAACACGCGUUUGAAAGAAAACUGAUUAAAGAAAUUCGUGAGGAAUUGUUGGAGGUGAGAUGAAUUCCUUCGAAGGAGACACUUUUGAGUAUGUUGAUUUUCUUGAGGUUGAUUCUUUUAAUUUACAGACUACUAAGAACUUCGUUGACCUUCUCAACCCUUUGGCUUUUUGGAUUGAAACGUUUUUGGGCUGAGAGAUUGGUUGCAGAAGAUAAAUGGUACUGUUCCAGAAAGGAUCAAAUAUUCUAAAUAUCUAUCUAUUUGGAAUGGGAAGGUUCAAUGUCACGGCCAAAGUUCUAUGGACUACUUAUCUAAGCGGAGGUUAUCUUUGGGCAUUUUUCACCAAAAGAUUGGAAUUCGAGGACAAAUUCUUCCCAACCUAGUCGAGUUGAUGAAAGAGCAUCUUUUAGACUUUCCUAAUCUAAGUGGGCUCACCAUCCAAUAAGGCUAAGUUUUAGCUAUAUUAAAUUAAUAAAUUAUUUUGUUAAUCAUUUUCCUAUUCUUAGUAGGAUUUGGUUUAAUUUCCUUUGUCAAUUAGAUUUUCUUAAUAACCAUGGAUAGGAAUGCUAGGUUGCUUUACUCGUGUAAUACGCUAUUUAGAGACUCUUGUAUUUAAUUUUUUUAUGAAUAUAAUUCCAACUUUAGUCUAUAGAGUUGGGAUUUUUGACCUCUAGAACUCAAUUAUCUUCAUUUCAACUUCUAUUAUAUAGCUUUAUCCUUCUAUGCUCUGUAUUUUGGGACUGUUUGGGAUGCUGGACAACAACUUGUUGCCCCUUCGCUGCAUCAGAAGUGAUGAUUUGAUAUGAUGUUGAUUGGUGUAUCUUUUCAUGAAUUUUUUUUGAGUGUGUAAAACAACAUUGCUUGACUAGCACAUUACAUAAUCUAUUCUCUGAGCGGUGGUUUGAUCAUCUCACCCUUUUAAUUUUUUUUUCCUAGAUGAAUUAGUGGUAGAGUCAAUGACUACACCAGUUAAGGGUGAAUUAUAUGAGAAUGAUAAAUCUUUAUUUAUUUAUGGUAUUUUUGUAAGAUUUUGGUGUUAUUUUAUAAGAGAAAUUUAUUCUGAUCCAUAAUUUAAGCCCUUUUAAUUUAUCUUUUAUUUAUCACACACUCGGCUCUAGAUUUAUAUUCUAGUCUACCCCAGAUUCGGAGCUUGACACAUUAAUUAAUGAAUUUAUCAUAUAAAAGAUUCAUUUAUCUUUUAAUUUUAUUUUAAUUUAUUUUUUGAAGACAACGACAUAACAUUUUCAACUCAAAGAAGAACAAUCCCAAAAAAAUUGGGUUGUUGUUAAUUAACUAGGGUUAAUUAUCAAACUUCAUUCAAUUGUUUAAUUAUACACGGAUUCAGUUAUUAUUAAAUUAUUAAAUUAUGUAUCCUUAAAUUCCUUCACUCGUCGCAUUUUAGUCAUUUUAUUGUUAAAUUAUUUAUUUUUGCCUAGUAUAUGGUUUAUCUUUUAGGGGUAAUAUAGACUUUUCGCUGGGCAAUAGUGAAAGCCAGUUCAAAUUAGCUGAGGAUCACCUUAAGCAAUAUAGACUUUUAACUUGUUGCUUGCUUAUAUGAAUUGCAUAUAUACAAGAGUAAAUGAAUCUUUUAUCAAUGUUUGUUUUUUGGUCAUCGGAGUUUUGCCGCUAAGGUUUCUUUGGAUUGAAUCUAUUUUUUUUUCUUUUCUAAAGUAUUGUAGGAGAAAACAUUUGUUUAAAGUAUUAAUAAUUUUUACUAAAAAAUUCAAGGGUAUUGUUGGAAAACUGAACACUUUGUCAUUCCUAAUACUACACCUUAUUUCAGUUUUUUCACAUUAAUAAUUUUUACGAAGACAAUGAAAAAUAUAUCUUUCACGAGAUUGAUAUACUAUUUGCAUCUAUAUACAUAUAUCAAAUUAUCUAAUUGUGUGUGUGUGUGUUUUUCAAUGGAUCAGAGUAAACCCAACAACCAUAUAGUGCAAAGAUAGAAAGUUUUCAAGAUGUACUUACCUCUAAUAUGCUUGUAUAAGUGUAGUUUCUCCACCAAUUGUUAUGAGAAACAUAACAUUGAAUGAAAAAUCACGAGGAUGAGGCAAUCAAGGAGAAGGCAAUACAAACAACUGAAUUAUGAGAAAUACGAAAGCAAUGCAUAAGCAGAGAACUCAAAUGGAAAAGCCACUAUGAGUUUUCCUACGCUAUAAAUAGACAAGGGAAAGAUAACGAACCAGGCAUUGCUUCAAGAGAAGGUAAUUCCAAGCAAACGAUGUUUGCUUGUUAUAUAUAUAGAAGCAUCUCAUCCCCAAAAGCCAAAAAAAACAAGCCUCUAUGCCAAGGCAACGAAAAGUGAAGGAGAGCUUGACGCAAUGGACAAAGUGAAAAAGAAUUGGAUGCAUUGCUUACAAAUAUGGACAAGAGGGAAAGACUAAGAAAGCGAUGAAAUUAUGGAAUUUGGGGUUAUGGAGGAAUCCACACAUCAUCAAGAAUGAGAAGAACCUUUGUGACAUCACUGUGGAUCCUUCAUGUACAUCAUCCGCCCCUGCACCUAACAAUAAAUCGAUUGAUUUUACACAGGAGUCUAAUCCAACUGAGUUCUCCACAGAAGUAUAUGAUGAAGGGCGUAAUCUUUUCCAUAUCACAUUGAUAAUAUCUUUGAUGAUAUAGGAUCUGACUUAAACUAAUUAAACGAUUGUCCUCGGAUUUAAUCUUGGCCAUACAGUUUAAUUAAUCCUAAACUUUUCUUUUGGUACAGAAUUAAUCGUAACCAUUUUUUAAUUUCAUAAUCCUAUAUGCAUAGAUGAAUCACAGGGAUUUUUAGUUACCCUAUAAAUUAUAUUUCUAGUAAGGGUUCAUAAAAGAUACGCGCUUAUUAACUACUCAUGCAUAUAUAACAUCAUGCAGAUUCUAUGUAUAAACAAACCCAAAUUAACUUUCCUUGGGAAAAUAAUAGAAGUUAAUAUAUACCAGUUCUUAGCACCUAGAGAAAUCUGCCAUUUUCGCCAACGCAGAUCUCCACUCUUGCACCUUCGUUUUAUCAUCCGAAGUAGAACUCCCCGUUUGUUUUCAUGCAUGAGAUGGAUCAACAUCGUAGAAAAUUGGUAGCACUGCUUCUCUUGCUCCCAUGAAUUUAAGAAGGUGUAGAAGUUCAUUCAAGCACCAUGUUGUUGAGGUACUUCUUGCAGAAGCCUAAGAGCCAUUUCUUGGUAGCCUCUCAUUCUCACGUCCAUAGUUGAAUGAAGUUUCUUUUGGACACCUUCAGGCCUUCCUGUAAAACUUUUCUCAAAAUCAAUUGGAGGAGGUGUGCUCUCAUUCUUCUCAAAAUCAAUUGAAGACCACAGUGAAGAGCCUUCCUUUAUGAGGGACUAAAAUCAUGUUUAAGCUUUGUGCUAAAAAAACACAUUCUUCUCUACUCAUAAUACUAAUCUAGUGGCCGCGCCCCACCCCAACCCACCCACCCACCCACCCACACACACCCUCCCCCCCCCCCAAACACAAAUUCAAUACAGUUUCAUUCGGCAUAGCCUAUAACAAUAACUAAUAUUUUUCUUUAAAUAAAAAAAAUAUAUAAAAAAUCUAAAACUAAAACAAAACCAAAAAGGAAACUGGUACUUGUGGCUGAUGGUCAUAGAACUUGUCAAUGAUCAAAUGCAAUUCAUAUAUAACAGAUGAAAGAGAAAUUACUUUCCCAAUCAGGGAUUCUGUUCACAUUAUAUGGUCAAAACUCAACUUAUCCUGUUAAUGCAGAACGAUAUUUUCAGCACCUAAACUAAGUUCGCAUUGGAAAAUGAGAAAAACAAAACGCAAAUCCCCAAAAUCUCAUAUAACACAGAUCAAGGAAGCAUUUUCUCUAGCUGCAGCUGCUCAAUUUUGAUCUGGGUGCACAGUAUGAGAAACUCAAUAAACUACAUCCUUUUCAUCGAUUGCUUAGAGGGGUUUUGGAUACUUUAUCCUGAUAGGGGCUCAACUCGAGCUUUGCCUUGACGGAUAUUAGACAGUGCUGACGUCCACACGGCUUCUAUGAAGCUGGAAGGCAGUAGUGAUCCAACUCCCGCAACUGCAUUGGCUGCCUGACCAAUUGAAGUAACCCAAGCAAGCUUCAAAAUGUGCACAUGACAACUUGCCCUCCAGUGCUCCUUCUUCAACUGUGUAAUGAGAAAACGUAAGAAAGAUUAAAUUAUAUCAUUUUUCUAUGACAAAUCACAUUGAACAAAAGAUGCCUCCAAAUGAAAAGCCCUAUAGGUUCAAAAAUAGGAAUGUGAAAAGGAUGUGGAUUAUGUCUGUGUCAAAGUCUAUAUUCGAUAAUUCUUUCAAUUUUCAAAUUCCAUCAUUUGUCAACACACUGGAUUAACUGGUCAACAAGAAAAAUCAAUUCGCAAUUGACAUGUAAUCUCAAGUGACAAUUUGAUCACAUAAUAACCCAGUUAAACACCGUAGAGCAUAAAUAAAUAUGAAAUAACAAUCAAAUCAAAGAACCCAAGGAAACUCUUUUGACAAGAGAGCACUUUUGCAUGAUUAACUAUUACUGCAAUAGAAAAGGUAAGCCAUACAGUUAUAAAUAUGGCACAGUUACCUGCUGUCAUCCACCUUAGAGGCUCAACAAAAAUGGAUGAACAUUCAGAAUCCUCAGACAAGUUGCUACUUUUUCGCUUUCGCCACUCAAAUGAUUUCCCGCCCUCACCUGGAAUGUGAUCCACAACAUUGUCCUGCAAUGCAACAAUUCUUCGGCAUUUCUUGCAGCGGAAUGCUGGUGUACCAGUUUUUCCUCCAUUUUGACCUGUUUUUACUCCAGAGGCAACUUCACUAGGCAACCCAGGAUCUGCCCCAAAUUUAGAAUUGUCUAUUUUAUCCCCACGAUGAUAAGAUUCACCUGAAAGGAUGGAUAAAAUAUUUCUAUUAUAGCAGGGAAAACAGAAAUUCACAUUUGCCACUCAAUUUGAAACCUCCAGUGAAAAUGAGUAGGCAUAACUUAUCAUGUCUCCUAUUCUGGGACAAACAACUUUUCACAUAGUAAUAAACAUCAAGAACACUUGCCAUGCAGUUGCAACACCCUUCACAGUUGUCACUGCUGUUCUGGUAAGCAUUUCUUUUUCUUUUUCUUUUUCUCUUCUGUUAAAAUGUUAUGUAAGGCAGAGGAGAAUGGCAAACAAUUUAAAAAACAGAUUGGGAGGUACAGUUCAUGGAUACUAUAGCAGCAUUGUAGCAAUUUUUUUGUGCUAGUUUCCCCAAGCUAAUUUGACGAGUGAGAUUAUUUUUAUUCUGAGGGCUACAAUUUAACUCUAUAGGGUUUUCUCGAGAUUCUAUCAUGUAUAAAUAGAGUGAACUAAAUUGAGACAAUCUUGUUUUUGGAAUUCUAAACCUUUGGCAUUUUUGAGUUCCUUUCAGAACCUUGGAAGCUUCGCUUAGGGAUUUCUUAUAAUCCAGCAGUGUCUCCAUGCUCAAUCCAAACCCUCUCGCUUCUCAAAAUAACAUUCUUUGAGGCAAUAAUCCACCAAAAGCUGGACCAACCAUCUCACAACCUACUUCAAUGAUAUACAACCAAUUUGGUAAGCAAUGGCUCCUUAAUACCUUCCUAUCAAUGAAUUUUACAUAUAAUCCUAGGCACACCAACUCAUAUACAAACUGAUGUGCUAGUACUUCAUUUGUUUAAAUUUGAGCCUCAUUGAUUUACAAACAGCAAGCGACUACCAUAUUAUGUGCCUCAUCAGUUGGUAUUAAAAAGCUGGGAUAAGAGUUGGUGCCUCUAAUAUCAUGAGACCCAAGAAAAGCCUACGUACAACAAUUUCUAGUCAGUCAGCGGCCCAAGAAUUAUAGCCUAGUCUCUAUGUCCCAUGGAGCACUUUCAUCAUCUUGUAUUUUACCAAAACAUGAAUGCAAGAUGUUCAAUCAAUUCCAAUAAAUUUAGAGGGAGGGGAAGAUGGAGAAGAAAAAAUAAAACUGUACCCAAUACUUGUUAGUGUAUAAGCUGUGAGCUGAUUAAAGUUUAGCAUAAAAUAUGCCUUGUAGUUAAUUGUGUAUUCACUUUGGUAAUUAAACCAAGUGUAGGGCCUUUCUUAUAAUUUGUCCAAGUGACAUGUGGAGAGUGAUCCAUUAGUUUAGCAUGAUGAAUGGCUGAGAUCAUUUCUACGGUUUUGAUGUAAUGAGCUACUGUGCAUAACGGUGAGAUAUAUGCACAGAGCAAGUGUGAACGAUAAAUAUAGAAGAGAACACUCUCUCUGCUAAUAAGCAGAGCAUGAACAAAUAGAUAUCCAAUUUUCCUCUCCUUCUUCUUCUGUAAUCAAACAAACACACACACUCAGAAUACAAAACUUCAACAAUACUUUCAGGCGAAAAGACUUACAUAUGGGGCUGGCACGAUCAACCUUGAAGCCCAUUUCAUCGUACAUUUUGAGUUGCAACACAAUAAGAGAAAAGAGUAAAAUCUUAGCAGAAAGUAAUAUAACCUUGUACAAGAUGUUACAUAAGAGUGCCUCGAAUCACCUGAUCUAGAAAACCAUCAUUGGGGCAAACAAACUCAUAGCUUUGCCUCAGGGAUCCUAGUGCAUCUGUAGGAUUGCAUAAGAGGAAGACAAAGACUAAAGCAGUUAAGCAUUUGUAACUCUGCCUUUUCUUCAAUUCAAUUUCUCAGGAAUUCAUAUGUUUCAAAGGGUGAUGAUUUUGGCAUUCCAACUAUCACCUCCCACACGCCUUUUCUCUCUCACACAAGAGGACCAUAUGAGUUUGGCACUCCUCUUGUGAGAAAGUAAAGUAGUGUGGGAGGCGACAUUUGGAGUGUCAAAAUUAUCUUCCAUUUUUAAAGUCCUACAAGCUUGUGAAACUAAUUUUUAUCUGAACUGAAGAAACAAAAGCAGCUAUUUGGAUUCCAGAAAUAUAACAGCAACAUGUAGUUAAUAAUAAUAUACGAAGACUUGGGAUGCUUAAAACAAACAAUGAUUUGUUCACACCUUCUUGUGAUAAAUGUUCUGUUCUCAUCAGAUAUGCCGUAAUGAUAGAUGCACUGCAACAAACACAUGCAAACAAGGGUGUAAACACUUUAAACUUGACAAUUCAGAAAACUGAAAAAGCUAUCAGAAUGUAAGCCUGUUCCGAAUAAUUUUGACAUUAUUAGUAGACUCUUGUUAUUCUAAAAACUGAAAAUCAUAAACUGAGAAAGCAAUAUGCACCUUCUGGAAACAUCAGCAAAGCAAUGCACCAAAACAGAACCCUUUUUCCACACACACAUCCAAAUAAUCCAAUAAAUUCUCAUCGUCCAUAUCUCUUAGCGGAACCCCCAUCCUCUCCAGCUUCAAAUCCUUGCCUGCACGUUCCAACGAGUACGAAAGCUUAUCGGAAAACAAACAAGUUUUCGACCCAUCACCAACAGAAGUUGACCCACCAACAGACCCGCCAGCAUAGACCUUCUUGAUUUCCUUUGUGGGAAUUGCACAAAGAAUAUGUGUGAUCUCUUUGCUGCCGUUUCAGAUUAUCUCUGCUGCAUCGCGGAUGUUGCCGAGGAAUAGAUUCUCACGAACAAGAUACGGCAUGAUCACGGAAAAAUAUUUGAAUUUUUCCUAAACCCAAGAUUAUCAAAGCAAGAAAAGUCGAACAAUAUGGGGCAAUUUACACCGUGACAGAGAUUACAAGAGUGUUUUAUAAAUCAGUCUUGCUUGACAAGAAAUCCUAUUUACACCGUGAAUAAAAAAGGACCCUAUUACACCGUCAAUAAAAAAGCAAACAAGAUAAUAAAGAACACCUAAAUUAACAAGAAGAAAUCCUUGUUCUUUACCUUUAUUUAGCUCAGCGAGUGAAGAGUGAGAGAGUAGAGAGAGAGAGAGAGAGAGAGAGCGGGGAAGGGGAUGGGUCUUUAGUUUUUCUGAUGAAUGUAUUUUAUUCUGAAAACGAAAAAAUUAUCUGAUAUAGGGGCCUAAAUUAUAAAAUACAUUGGAUUUUGGGUUUUGAGUUGGUUUCUUAUUAAUUUUUUAAAAAUACUUUUUAGUACUUCAAAAGUAUAUUUUUUUCUUUUCAAAAUUUAAAAAAUUAUGAGAGAUUCACUAUUAUAUCCAAUAUAGAGGCACAAAUUAUAAAUUAAAAAAAAAUAUGAAAUGGGCUAUAGAAACACAUCUAAAGCUCAUUUACAACAUAAGGCUUUUAACUUCUUAUAAAUUACAAAAGUACCAUCGAUUUCUUAAAAGAGGUCUAACCCCAAAACCUCAUAAAUAAAAAAACUCAAAAUAUUCAAUAGGGCAUCAAAGUAAUCAAAAUUAAAUUUAAUAGUUUCAGCUGGCAUUUUUUGAGUUUUUUUUUUUUUUUUUGGUUUGUUUAUAGACAUUAAAUUGUGUGGGUUUAUCUACGUUAUUAGUGCUAAGAAUAAGUAUAUGACUAUUCGACCAAAAAAAAAGAAAAAAAGAAUAGGUAUAUGACCAAGGGCUAGUUUGACAUUGUUGUGUUGUGAAAAUAAUCACUGUCAAAUUUGCUGUGAGAGAAAACAGUUGAACAAAUUUUUUUUAACAAUAAGUGAUUUUCUCAUAGUACUAAACGGGCUGGGCUUCUCAAAAUUUUUAAAAAAUCACUUAUCACCCUAAAUGACAAGACUCGCCCCGGAAUUUCCCGAAAACCGAAGUGGACCCCGUCUUUGUUCCGACAUCUACCCGAUGCCGGGCCCACUUACGAAGAAACCGAGACUUUCUACCAAAAUUUUGGCAGAGUCUCCCCUGCAAUUUAAGCAAACCCAACAAAAAUUUUCAACCUGCCACAUACAUAAAAUAAAAAUCCCAACCAGCAGCAUACUUUCAUAAUUCAACAAGUCAUACUAAAUGGCCUCCGGCCUCAGAAGUAAAAUCUACCAUGGGCGAUAACAGAGCAUCUACUGAAUUUAGAUUACAAGAACAGUUGAGUAGAAGAAAUUACUCAAAUCCUAUCUAGGAAGAUUCACAAUUCGAGCCUCGUACACCACUUGCACGCUUCCUGGAGCGACUACUGGCUGGGGGCGCAAAACAGAAAACAUGUGAGUGGACAAAAACCAGAUUUGCAGUUAAAAACAAUAUAAUAUCCCCACCACGUAAAAAUAAUGCUCAAGUCAUGCAGGUUCACAAUUCAAUAUUUAAUUACUCAAAACAUGAUUCAUUUAAAACUCUUCAAAAUACAAAUCAUCUCCUUCAUAAACCCCAUUCUCUCAAUCUUACAACUCCUGCCAAACCACGGAAAAACUCUAAUUCUUCACUCACUCAGCUAUACAUAGACAUAUAUAUAUAAAUAUAACUAUACAUAGCUAUACGAUAUACCCAUCACACUACCUAGGUACCGAGGAAACAAUCCAACUGCGGGAUCGCUAGUCCGUAGGAUUUCCAGGUGCUAUCUUGCGUCUAUGGAUGAGCGGUCCAACCGGGGGAUGAAACUCCAAAGCUCACACACCGGAACAUCCAACGCCAUGUGUAGCUCCCAAACUAUGUCCUACGCGCGCAAACUGGAUCAUCACACACCGAAACAUCCAACGCCAUGGGUGAUGACCCUAAACACUAUAUAGAGUCUUUCCAUACGCCGGAACAUCCAACGCCGCAUAUGGAAAUUGUCUCACGCGCCGGAACAUCCAACGCCGCGAGUGAGACGGAUAACCUAUUCUUUCCAUACGCCGGAACAUCCAACGCCGCGCGUGGAAAGUCGAAUAACUGGGGAAGGUACUUACAUAGUGUAAUCAUACAACUUCUCUCAACAACCCCUCACAAUCAAGUUCUUCCACAAUACACUUCAACAACCCAAGUAUCUCGCCUAUAGAGAAUAUAUAUAUAUAUAUAUAUAUACUUCCCCAAAAUUCUUAUAAAAUGCACUCUCAAUACCCAAAAUACCAAACUCACAAUAUAUUGCCAAAGCGCUAUAUAACAUCAAAUUCAUCUCAUGAAUAUAAUAUAUUCAAUAAACCAUUAAAACAUUAUGCAUAAAUCUUUCAUCAAUAAAACCAUGCAUAUGAUUGAAAACAAAGUCCACUCACAAAUAUUCCCACGCUGCUUGACCACGUAAGGGUCCUGCUUGCUGAGUGCGUGCAGUCGAAACACCUAUUUCGAGAUACGAACCUUUAAAUAAUAUAAAAUUAUGUCAAAGCGGAAAUCACAAAUUAAAUGCUUAAAUCCCCAAAUUCCCAAUACGUGCACGUUGAAGAAGGUAUCCUAAGGUCCGAUUACAGGUUUAGGAAUCGUUCACGAUUGUACAGUUAUCGCUAACUCGCAAACUUUGCAUUAUUGAAUCGGAACAUCCGGGGCUCCGAUUCAUAAUCCAUGAAGUCCCAUACGGUCCUAGGAAUACCUAGAACAACACAUUUUAAUUCUGAAAAGAUCUAACGGUCGGAACCUAUCGAACCCGGAUAAUGCACAAUAUGCGAAAAUCCGUUCGAUAGUCAAACGACAUCCGAAUUGAGAUCCGCGAAUUCCUAUGCACUCGUGACAACCUAAGGAUCUCAUUGGGUUAAAUUGCAGCUUCACCAGCCUCGCCCACGCGCCGCCACACGCACCGGCAGCGCGUGGGUAUGUAGAGUAAUUCCGGUGACGGAAAAACUCCACACCCGAGCUCACCCUUCCUAUCCUAGCUUCUACUCAAGGUCAGGAUCACUUCAUUCAACUACGGGACGGUCCAAUUCGGGCGGCAACUGGCUGGAAUUUCACUUUGAAAUUCGGCCAAAACCUAGGUUUUCUAAUCGGUUUUCUAAACUCAAAAUCGAUCUAAUCGUACCCCAGAAAUAGCUAGAGCAUGUAAAAAGAGGAAGAACCCUCACCUGUUUCACCGGGUUUGGGCGGCGAAGAUGGCGGCGCUGCGACGGGAAAGCUCCUGUUCAAACCAGUCGAGCUCGUGGCCGGAGUUCGUUGUUUCCGACGGGGAAAACCGGCUAGCCUUGAUCAGGACGUCGAGACGAGUCGAUCGGGAUCGGUGGCGUGCCUGGUUGUGGCCGGUGCAGAGAGAACCGAAGAGAGAGAGAGUCGGUGUCGGAGAGAGAGAGAGACUGAGGAGAGAGAGAGAGUCGAGCGCGCGCGAGGAGAGAGAGAGCUGAGGUGAAAAAUCUGAUUUUUACCAAACUUUUUGAAAUAUUUACAGUUUUGCCACUGAUAAUGUUUUGCUCGUGACUUUUUCGUUACAACUCCGAUUCAAGCCUACCGCGUGUCUACGAAUUCAUCUCAGUACCACCUACCCAAAAAUACCAUUCGUGGUCCCAAAAUCCUUCCGGAUAAGAAAAUGACCAAUUUACCCCUACCCCAAGGGUAAAUUCGUAAUUCAUUUUAAAUAAAUUAAAAUAGACAUUUAAUUUGGAGUCGGGGUGUUACACUAAAUAAGCAAUGCUAAACAGCCACUAAAUAUCUCAAAAAUUAUCCUAUAAAAGUAAGCACAUGACAUUACUUUUACAAAACCAGAAAUUAAUUAGCUGUCUAAACCCUUAUUGUACCCCCGUAGAAAUUUGGAACAAUUAGCCAAGUUUAUAACAAAAAACACAUGGGAAAAAAAUUUGGAAGACCAAAUAAAAAUUAGGAAGAAUGUGUGUUUUUUGUUGUUGUUGUGAUUUUCCUUCUCUUCUGCUCCCUUCAUCUAAAAACUAUUAACAGAAGCUGCAGCAUCAUCCUCCUAAAAAAAACCUGUAUAUGUAUUUUGCUCCUAAACUAAACUCACAUGCUUAAGAAUCUCUUUCAUUAUAAAAACUAAAUAGGCAUAUAUCAUAAAGGGUACUAAUUUUUCCACUCCCUUUUUGAACACUUACUCUCCAUGUUUUUAAAAUUGUAUGUUCUCACUCCUCUUUUGUUCACUUACACUCCAUUUUAUCUUCUAGUAAAAAGUAUUAAAAAAUAAAAAGGAGUGUUAAUAAAUUACUAAAUGGGGUAAUGAAGGAGAAGAAAGUUACCAAAUCCCCUAACUUCCCAUGUAAAUCCCCAUUUUAUAAGGACAUAGAUCAACAUUACAAGGAAUUAGUAAGUGUGGACCUUAGGGAUGUAAAAUGAGGUCCUUAUUCUAGUAAACACAAGGGUUUACAAGAUUAAGGACCGGUAUUACAAUAGUUUGGAUAUGAUGGCACCAUAACAUUGUAAGAGGAUCCCAAAACUUAUAAGUUACAAGAUUUGGAUAGCGAUUUACAAGUUUUUAAACUAGGAAUACAACAUUAGGGUUCACUUAAUCCAUAAUGUUGUAAAUCCUCAUUUUACAAGGAUAUGAAUCCACAUUACAAGAAAUUGGUAAGUGUGGACAUUGAAGAUGUAAAUUAGGUCAUUAUUUUAGUAAAGAUGAGGGUUUACAAGAUUAAGGGCCGAUUUUACAAUUUUGGGAUAUGAGGGUAUCAUAACGUUGUAAAAAGAAUCUAUAAACAUUUACAUUACAAGAUUUGGGUCGCGAGUUACACUUUAUGGACCGGGAUUACAAAGUUAAGGUUCAUCCAAUCCAUUAUGUUAUAAAUCCUCAUUUUACAAGGAUAUGGAUCCACAUUACAAUGAAUUAAUAAGUGUUGACCAUGAAGAUGUAAAUUGGGGUCCUUAUUCUAGUAAAAUGAAGGUUUAAAAGAUUAAAGGCUAAUUUUUCAAUUUUUUGGAUACGAGAGUAUCAUAAUGUAGCAAAGAGGAUCCAUAAACCUGUACAUUACAAGAUUUCGGUUGCGCAUUACACUUUAUGGACCAAGAUUACAAAGCUAAGCUUCAUCCAAUCAAUAAUAUUGUAAAUCUUCAUUUUACAAGGAUAUGUAUCCACACUGCAAUGAAUUUGUAAAUGUUGACCAUGAAGAUGUAAAUCAAAUUCCUUAUUCUAGUAAAAUAAGGGUUUAUUAGAUUAAGAGAGAAGAUUUUUAUAAUAUUUUGGAUACAAAGGUACCAUAAAGUUGUAAAGAGGAUCCAUAACUAUAUAAGUUACACGAUUUGGGUAGUGAAUUACAGGUUUUUGCACCUGGGUUACCACAUUAGGGUUUGCAUAAUCCAUAAUGUUGUAAAUCCUUAUUUGACAAGGAUAUGAAUCCACAUUACUAGAAUUGACAAGUGUGGACCUUGGGGGAUGUAAAAUGUGGUCAUUAUUUUAGUAAACAUGAGGGUUUACAAGAUUAAGGACCAAUAUUACAAUAUUUUGUAUACGAGGGUAUCAUAGUAUUGUAAGAUGAUCCUAAAACUUAUAAGUUACACGAUUUGGGUAGUGAUUUAUAAGUUUUUGCAUUAAGAUUACAACAGUGGUGUUCACCAAAUCCAUAAAGUUGUAAAUCCUUAUUUUACAAGGAUAUAGAUCCACAUUACAAAGAAUUAAUAAGGUUGGACCUUUUUGAUGUAAAACGUGCCCUUAUUAUAGUAAACACAAAAGUUUACAAGAGUCAAGACCGAUGUUAUAAUGUUUUGGAUAUAACAAUUCCAUAAUGUCGUAAACAAGAUCCCUAAACCUGUAAGUUAUAAGAUUGUGCUUAAAAUUCAAUUGCAUAUUGGUAUGCAAUUGGAUGCUCUUGUUGUCAAUUUUGUGCUCCCUAUUUGUCAAUUACUCAAAUCGCCUUGAAUGUUGGUAAUACUCUAGAAGUAGUUACUUAAAAUGCAAAAAGUUGACAAUAACAUGACAAUUUCCAAACAUAAUUGCAAAAGCCGCCUAAGAAGUUGGUAAUUGGAUUCAAAAAUCAAAUGUCAAAGUACCUAUUGCGUUUUCAUUCUCAAAAUGCAAAAGACUACCAAUAGGAUGACAAUUUAUGUACACAAAUUACAAAAACCGCCUGAUGAGUUGGUAAUUGCUUUCCAAAAUCACAUAUGAAAAUACUUUGAAGCUUAUUUCAAGUGUGACUUGAUUGCUAUGAGGAAACUGAUUUUAGGUAAAUCAUGACAUAAUCAUGCAUUCAUUAAGGAUUCCUAGUUGGAGUUAUUUUCACUACAGCACUUUUAUGUUAGCUCUAUUUUUAAUAGGAUUACAUUUUAUCUCUUGAGAUUACUUUACAAAUUGGACUGUAUUUUGAUUUAAGUUUUAUCUUUUCCUAUUAUGACUUGCAUGUUGCUCAUCUCCUACUUGAUUGGUCUAAUUAGUUUGCUUAAGGAGAUAUUGUUUCUCGCUCAAAGAUUGGUUGUUUGGCGUCAUCAUUUAAGUCCAUAUUAGAUCAAAACUGAUAUUCAUGAUUGAAUACUAUUUGUAGUCUCAUGUUUGGCGUCCUUAUUGGGAGUGUAUAUUGAAUCAAAGUUAUUAUUCAUUAUUGAAUAGUAGUGCGUCUUUUGUGGCGUCUUGGUCAAGAUACCAUAUUGCAUUAGGUUUUGGUAGUCAUAGUUGAAUAGGUUUUAGAGUCAUUGUUGAAUAUGUGGUCAUGUGUUGACGUCUUUUGACUUGAGCCUAUAUCGGUUUAAACUAGAGAGUCAUAAGAAAAGAAUGUUUGUGGACUCCUAGAUCACCAUAUGACUAGGGAGAAUGUGUUUUGAAUAAAAAAAGUGUGCCUCUCUUUUUAGAACAUAUAGUUUUCGACAUAUUGAUUUUUUGAGUAUAUAGAAUUUUUAAGAGAAAGCUGUUGUGCAUAUUUUUCAAAUAAGUCAUCAAGUGUUCUUUGUUUACUUGGUGAUUUAUGAAAUCCUUUCACCAUUUAUACUACAUUCAUAUGCAUGUCGGUGACUCACAUGGUUGAGGGCAUCAAGACCGUGGUGGCGGUUUUCCUCCGGCGAGCUUGAAGCAGUCGUGACUAGUAUUGCGUUCAAUAUAAGGAUUGUCGAAGAUCAUCCCGUGACAGAUGUUGAGUUACGAAGAAGUGGGUAAAUAUUAUCUAGAACGUGUCUAGGAUAAGUGUGUGAGUACUUCUUGUAAUCAUCAUUCUAUAGUGGAUAUGUGUUGGGCUGAGGAGUCCAGUGGAUUUUCCCCAGAGAUGGGGUUUUACCACGUAAAAUAAUUCUCCACAUGUUCCUUUAUUUUAUGUUCCGCACAUUUCAGGAUUGAUAAGCUAUAACAAUCCUACUACCGAAGUUUAUUGAUUAUAAUCUUAAAUUGGCAUAUUCACCCCCUCUAGGUAUUUUUAGUCAUCCUACAGAUAAUUUCAAUUGGCAUCAGAGCCGGUCGGAUGGAUCAUGCUAUAUUGAGACAGUUCAAGAGUUUUCUUAAGAAUCGAAACUCUAAGGAGUAAGACUCGCGAAAUAACUCAGGUAUGAUUUUUGAGAAAAUUAGAAAUAUUUAUAAUACUUACAUUGUUUCAAAAUCUUGUAGGUUAAAUACACGAAAAAUUCAAAAGGAAAAGUCAAAUGCUUUGAAUGUGGAGGUUAUGGUCACAUAUCUUCUACAUGUGCUAAGAAGCAAAAGGAUGGGAAGAACAAAGCAUCGAAUACAACUUGGAGUGAUAGUGAAUUGGAAUCCAAGAAUGAUGAAAAGACGGUUGCACUCGUAACCACAGUUAGCUUAGAUGAAUCACAUAAGAAUGAUGAUUGUGAAGAUAUGAAAAUUGAUUUUGUCAUGAAGAAGUCCGAUGACUUGCUUGCUGCCUCACAAAAACUCAACAAACAAAAUGUCAAGCUCAUCAAAUCUGUUGCUGAGUUGAAGUUGGAAAAUAGCAGGAUUGCAAACGAGGUACAAUCCCUUGAAGCAUAUUCCGAAAAGGUAAGUGCAGGUGUGAACGAAAAAUUGAUGUUUUUGCAGAAAAAAUUGACUGAUCAGAAUAAAUUAAUGACAACAAAGCCCUUGAACUUGAAACUUAAAAAUUCAAAGGAAAGGAUAGUUUCUUUAACCAUUGAUGCAGAAAAAAUUGACAAGAUGAUUAGCAUGGGAAGAAGAGAUGGUGACAAAUAAGGAUUGGGAUUUGAACCAAGUAAUAUGUCUUCUGCUGUGUCUAAAACAAAGUUUGUCAAAUCCUAUUCACCUAUUGAACCUUCUGCUGCUCUUGAAGUCAAGAGAUUCAUUCCAAUUUGUCACUUUUGUGGAACUCGUGGGCACAUAAGACCAAGAUGCAAUAAGCUUCAAAACAUAUUUGUUCGUUCAAAUUCUCAUGUCAUGGGUGGAAAAGUAAUUAAGUAUCAAACAUAAGAUUUCAAAUCUUAUGAAAGAGGUAAACUGCUUAUCCAAACUCUAUUCUUUUCAUUGUUUGCCGUCAACUAAGACAAAGUUAGUUUGGAGGAAAAAGGAAAAUCAUAAUUGUAUGUUUGCCUUCACUAAUGUUGUGCAUGAACCCGUUGCUUCAGAAAAUUUGGAUCUUAAAUGUCUUGUUGCAAAACCUUCGGAUAAUCUUUGAUAUGACACUCUUAGAAAGUCUUUAGGUAUUUGUUCUUUUAAAUAAUUGUUUGUGUUUUGAUGCAUGCCAAAAAGACUCCAGCUGUUCUUUUCUCUGUUUUUGUAACAUAAAAUGGAUUAAAUUCUAAGUACUUUGUUUAGCAAUGCAGGGAUUGAUAAGUGAUAUCAAUCCUGCUAAUAUCUUGGAGUUUUUGCUAAUCUUAGAUUGGAUUUUUGGCGUUGGAUCACCUUGGGCAAAUUAAUAUUGGGUUUAGGUGAAUAUGGUUCUCAACUGUCUUUGUUUUUUAUAAGGUUAAUUAAAUGCUCUUUAUAUUAGAUCUCAUGUCUCACAUAUAGCACAUACACUCUAAUCUUGCUUAAUAAUGUUGAAUGAAUCUUCACCUUGCCAUUGUCUUGAUACUAGAUUUGCAUUGUACUUUUUGCUACUGAACUCACAAAUUUAUAACAUCUCUUUAAUGAAAAGUAAAGUGAAAUAAGUGCUUGAUCAUUUUAAAGUAAUUGGGCCUUUUGUCUAACCAACAUCGAGGUUCACAUCAAAAAGCUUUGAUCUUGUACACAUUGGUCCUCUUUGUAGCCUACAUGACUCCGGUUAGUACAUCCUAGGGGUGUUUUAACACCAUUGUCUUAAAGUCAACUGACUUGAGCACAUUGAUUUGACACCUGUUACAUGGGUCUUGUAGAAAUCUUGGUAAAGUUAGCAUUUUUUUUUUUAAAAAAAAAAAGGAGAAAAAAUAGGUGAAAGUGGAGACCUAUGUAUGCAUUUUGUAUGUGUUUAUUCUAUAUUCUUGGCUUUCUCUUGGUUGGAUGUUUUCUUUGUUAUUAAGCAUGUUUAGUCACAUAACACAAGAUAUGACUUUUAUAUUUGCGCAUUUGAUAGACUUUAUUUCUCACAAAUACUUUUGAUUCUCCAUUUUAUAAUCCUUGUGUUUGAUUAAACCUUUGUGAUUUGAUGUGCCUUAAAUCCUGAAAGGCUUUGCUUCAAAUGCUCCUAGACAGAUAUUAGUAUUGGCUAUGCUUAUCUAUCCUUUUGCAUAGUGUCGACAUGUACUCAUGAUUUUUUUUACAUGUAUGAAGGAGGAGUAUUGGUAUAAUGUUGAGCAUGGUCAUUGGUAUUUAAGUAUGGUGUUUUUAUUUUUGUGUUUCAGUUUAUACCCCUCUUUUUCAUUUUUUUUCUCCUGAAUGCUAUAAUUGUCUUCAUCCUUGGCAUAUCUUUAAGGGGAGAGUUAUUAUUCAAGUGCACAAGAUGAUAUGAUUAUGUUUAUUGUUUUUCUUUCAGUGGUGUGUUUUUCUUGAUGCGGUAGCUUUUAGUUUUUGUUUAAGUCUUUUAAAAAAAAGAUUUUUUGUUUUGUUUUCAAACAUAGUGUCGUUUUAUGCUUCUUGUUUAAUUGUGCAGCUAGACUUUGCUUCAUGUUGCACAUCGAGCUUCUCGUAAAUCUUAGAAGUACUGAGAAGGACACAUGAUGAAUUGAAUUUGAGGAUUGCAGUGCCAUUGUCAAUCCUGUCAGUUGCAAAUCACACAGUAUGUUCACAAGAACAUUCUCAAUUUGACUUCUGACAUCUUGCUAUUUCUUGGGCAUUACAUUGGUUAUUUCUUUAUGCCUUUGUAUUUGCUCCCUUGUGUAUCAUCCUUGCUCUUUGGAUUUCUUGACAAAAAGGGGGAGAGAUGAGUGUGUGAAAUUAUGAUAAAAAGGAGGAGAGUGUGUGUUGUAGAAUUAAGGGAGAGUGGUGUGUAAUUUUGCUUUGAAUUACAUUUCUUCUCCUGCAUGCUUCUCUGAUUUUAUUGCUUCAUAAUGUGCAGGGAUUCAGAGCUUUGAGUUUAGAGUAGGAUUUCAUUUGUUAAAUCCCAUGCAAUUUCUUUUGAGUUGUAGUAGGUGUUUUGUCUAGGAAAUGCCAAAGGGGGAUAUUGUUAGUAUGAAAUUGUAUUAUCAUUUCCUAAGACUCUAGCAUAGGUCAGGAAUUAGGAUGUGAAUAUCUUUUACUAGAAGUUUUGGCGCAACACAUUCAAUCCCGAAUUUUCAAAAUGUGACUUGAUUGAUAUGAUCAUGAGGAAAUUGAUUUCAGGUAAAUCAUAACAUAGUCAUGCAUUCAUUAUAGGAUUCCUAAUUGGAGUUAUUUUCACUCAAGCACUUUUAUGUUAGCCUUAUUUUUAAUAGGAUUACAUUUUAUCUCUUGAGAUUACUUUACUAGUUGGACUCUAUUUUGAUUUAAGUUUUAUCUUUUCCUAUUACGACUUGCACGUUUCUCAUCUCCUAUUUGAUUGGUCUAAUUAGUUUGUUUUAGAAGAUAUUGUUUCUCCCUCAAAGAUUGGUUAUUUGGCAUUAUCAUUUAAAGUCUAUAUUAGAUCAAAACUGAUAUUCAUGAUUGAAUACUAUUUGUAGUCUCAUGUUUGGCGUCCUUACUGGGAGUUUAUAUUGAAUCAAAGUUAUUAUUCAUUGUUGAAUAGUAGUGUGUCUUUUGUUUUGGCGUCUUGGUCAAGAUACCAUAUUGCAUCAAGUUUUGAUAGUCAUAGUUGAAUGGCUUUGAGAGUCAUUGUUGAAUAGGAUAUGUGGUCAUGUGUUGAUGUCUUUUGACUUAAGCCUAUAUUGGUUUAAACUAGAGAGUCAUAAGAAAAGAAUGUUUGUGGACUCUUAGAUCAUCAUCUGACUAGGGAGAAUGUGUUUUGAAUGAAAGAAGUGUGCCUCUCGUUUUAGAAUAUAUAGCUUUUGAAAUAUUGAUUUUUGAGUAUAUUGAAUUUUUAAGAGAAAGCUGCUGUGCAUAUUUUUCAGAUAAGUAAACAAGUGUUCAUUGUUUAUUUGGUGAUUUAUCAAAUCUUUUCAUCAUUCACACGACAUUCAUAUGCAUGUCAAUGACUCAUACGGUUGAGGGCAUCAAGACUGUGGUGGCGGUUUUCCUCUGGCGAACUUGAAGUAAUCAUGACAAGUAUAGCGUUCAACAUAAGGAGUGUCGAAGAUCAUCCCAUGACAAAUGUUGAGUUACGAAGAAGUGGGUAAACAUUACCUAGAAUGUGUCUAGGAUAAGUGUGUGAGUACUUCUUGUAAUCAUCGUUCUAUAGUUGAGUUGUGUUGGACUGAAGAGUCCCGUGGAUUUUCCCAGGAGGUGGGGUUUUACCACGUAAAAUAAUUGCGUGUUCCUUUAUUUUAUGUUCAGCACAUUCUAAGAUUGAUAAGCCAUAUCAAUCCUGCAACCGAAGUUUAUAGAUUAUAAUCUUGAAUGGGCCUAUUCACCCCCUCUAGGCAUUUUCAGUCAUCCUACAGGUAAUUUCAAUACUACCUCUCUUCCAAUCUCUACAAAAGGGGUAAAUCAGAAAGUCUGCAUCUAACAAGUUAUGGAAAGUUUAGUUGGAGUCCAAUUAAGGAGUUUAUACUACAAAAGUAAUAGGAAAAAGAACAUCUUUCGUCACUGGGUGUUAUACGAAAGUUCUGUUGAUCACUACAAAGUUUACAAUUUAUAGGCAUUAUGUCUAAGUGCAAUUAAAAAAAAAUUGAAAUGCAAUUUAAAAUUGGUAAAAGAUAAAUAUUUACAAGGGAAAAAAACCUAUAUUUCAUAAAGAAAAUAGUGCUCUUACUUGUUUUGGUCAAUUUUCGUAACACACUACUACAAAAAGUGAAAAAGACGACCAGAAAACAACGACGGUCUAAGUGAAAACCGUCGUGGUUUUUAAAAAGACGACGGUUCUAAAAACACCGUCGUGUAAUACCACCUUAGACAACUAAAAAAUGGAGAUUCAAAUGGCUGUUCAAAAACAACGACGUACCUAAUUAAACAACCGACGUCUAUUUGAAACAGAUUUCCGCAGUGUAAAAUCAAAGCCAACAAAGAACGGCAGAAGUUAUGAAUCGACCGACGUAGAAAGUAAAGACGACGAUUUCAAUAAAAGCCGCUGUUUUUACUCAUAAAAUAACACGACGAGGUUUUCGUAUAAGACGCCGUAUAAUUACAAACAAAUCCACGGCUUUAAAAUACAAAAUAUCGCCGUAUUAAAUUAAUGUACAACGACGGAAAAUAUAAAUAUAUCGACGUCAUUCUCGUAUAGUUUUACGACGUUAUCUUUAAAUCGUACUAUAAAAUUUAACGUCGUAUUUAUUCAUUUUAUACGUCGUACCUUUAAUUUAAACCGUCGUCUUAAUAAGAAUUUUUGUUAACAAUUUUUUUCUUUGAUUUUCUUAUCCUACGUCGGUAGAUCUACUUAAUGAUAAGAAUUGAAAUAACCACGACGGUUUAUAUAGAAAACCGCCGACAUAAUCAGAUUUUUCUGAGAUCCCAAGGGUUACGAAAUCUUACCAGAUGGAACUCUGUUCCACAUCAUAAUCUUAACAGAUGACACAGAUUUGCAAUCAGAGAGACAAUUUUUUGGAAGUUGAUGAUGUGUGUGCGUUUGUGUAUCUACAAAUAUUAUACCUAACGUUGUUGCAAAUUUGCAAUCAGAGAGACAAUUUUCAACGACGGUUAUAUUAUACCUAACGACGUUUAAAAAACAAAUCAACGUCGCUCAACAAAUAUAUUACGUCGUCUUAGUCUUACUUAAGACGACGAAAAACGACGACAGUAAUACAAAAAUAGUCGUUGUUUUUAUAUUCUUAUUUUAUUUAAAUCUGUCAUCCAAAAAAGAAACUUUACAUAUUCCAGAACAUUAAUUUCCUUCAUUUUAAAUUUCCUCCGGAAAAAAAACUCUAUUUAUAACGCACUGUAAUUGAAAAAUAAACUGAAAGGUCACGGGAAAAAAAAUUCUAUUCAUAAUUUAAAAAUUCAAAUUCACGUCGGUUAUAUUAAACCUAACGACGUUAAAUGAAAAGAUUCCACGUCGCAAAACAAAUAUUGCGUCGUGUUAGUUAAAAACGACGGCAUAACAAAAAACCAUCGUUGUUUCAAACUGAAUUAAUUUAAAAUUUCUUCGGGAAAGCAAAAUCUAUUUAUAAUUUCCUCGGGUUAGUAAUAUUGCGUCGUGUUAGUUUACAAAUUCUAGAACAUUAAUUUCCCUCAUUUUAAAUUUUCUCGGGAAAGAAAAAUCUAUUUAUCACGCUUUGUAAUUGAAAACUAAAACUGAAAGAAUUCGGGAAAAAAAAAACUCUAUUUAUAAUUUAAAAAUAAAAUCCACGUCGGUUGUAUUACACUUAACGACGUUUAACAAAAUAAUCUACGUCGGUAAUUAUAAAUCUACCGCCAUCUUACCUUAAUAUAGACGACAAGAAAAGACGACGGUAGAACAGAAAACCGUCGUUAUUUUAGUUUCUUUAACAGUUUGGUCCUUUAUCUUUCUGCAGGACUUGUAUAGUUCAAAGCAUUGACAAUGUCUUCAUCAUAUCUCCCAGCAACUACUGAUUCAAUUGCUCAUGCUUUAGAGGCCAUCUGAAGCCAUUUCUAUUUUUUAUCGCAUUCUUGAAACCCAUCUUCUUCUUCUGAAGCUCUACGGAUAAAGGAAGAGGCUAUCACAAAUCUGACGGAUCUUCUUAGCCAAGAAAAUCAAGCAGAGGAUCAGGCACAUCUGAUCUUCAGAUUUCCCUGAGAAGCGAACUUUCCUUCGACAGCGAGUGGAGGCCAGGCUUGCAUCUCUUUUGAUGGAAAGCAAGGAGUAUUCAGAAGCACUAAGUGUCCUAUCAGGCUUGAUCAAGGAAGUGAGAAGGCUAGUUGACAAGCUUCUUCUUGUGGACAUAGAUUUGAUGCGAGUAAGCUCAAUUUCUCUUUGAGAAAGACAUCCAAAUUAUUGUCUUUGAGAUGUGAGAGACAGUGUCUCUGAGAGAGGAAGAACUUGGAACCCUAAAUGUAAACCGAAAAUGAAUGAAAGCGACAAAUUUAUAGAAUAAAUUUUUAAAACCAACGGCGGUCCUUACAAAAAAACCGCCGUUUAAAUUGUAAAAUCAACGUCGGUAUGACCGACGUAUAUUACAGAAAUCCACGUCGGUACAUUAAUAAAAACGACGUGUUAAAUAAUCUACCAUGACGCGAGUUAUUACUUAUGUACUUUAAUUUUUGAGUUUACUACGACGGUACCUACAACACUACUGUCGUAUUUAUUUACCACGUCCGAAGUUAAAUGUACCGUCGUAUUUUGUAAUUUAUACGUCGUAGUUAUAUGUAACCGCCGUAUUAUUUUUUUGAAAUGGUUUUAUAUGUAAGCAACUUUUCGUCUACCUUACUUACACAUGCACUGUUUCCAAACCCGAUUAAAAAUUUCAAUCUCCCAGAGAAAACUUUUUGUCUUUUUUCCUUGUCAGAGCACUGUCAGAGUAUCUCAUCGUCUUCCUCUCGUCUUCUUCGUCGUCUCUGAACUUAAAACAUUGUCUUCCUCUUGCUUUCAUUGCACGCAAAAGGUAAGCUUUCAUUUUCACUAUUUUGGUUGCUGUUUUGCAUGCUCAUACGUUUUUUGUUUGAAAAAUCUUUUUACCUUUUUUCUGGCCAAAAUCAUUUUACUUCUUUCCAAGUUUGAUAAAAUAUACAGACAAAGAGGGAAAGUUUCCAACUUUGAAGACAACUACCUCAACUAAAUAAGACGACGGUAGCUUCUUAUUUACGUGGUUAAAUAUGUAGACCACGACGGUUCGUCAGUCGUUCUAGCGUCGUCUGAAAAUUGACAAAGUUGUUUUUAAAAUUAUAGUCUUUUUUUUAUUUGCUUGUUUAAUUGCAGGUUUGAUUUCUCUGAACAAUGAUUUUUGUUUUUCCCUAAUUUGAUAAAAUAUAAAGAAAAAGAAAGUAGGGUUGGUAUCUAAUAUAGACGACAGUAUCUUAUUGUUUUACGUCGUGUGAAUGUUAAUACCACGACGUCAUAUUAAAAUACCGUCGUUUGUAUAAGAUUCCAAAACUUUCUUUCUUGGCCUUGUAUUUUAUCAAAUUAGAAAACAAAAACCAUGGUUCAGAAAAAUCAAAUCUGCAAUCAAACAUUCACAGAGAAAGAAAGAAGGGUUUUGGAUCCUUAUAUAGACGACGGUAUAUUACUAUUGACGUCGUGUGAACAUCAAUACCACGACGUUAUAUAAAUAUUUCGUCGUUUAUAGUUAAUUAUCACGUCGUCCGGUAAAUAUCGACGUAAUAAGUUAUUAUUACGUCUUAUUUUAUAUUAUUUUGUCGUUGUUUAAUUACCUUGGUUUUAAACAUUUAUUACGUCUGAGAUUAUUUCAUUGUGUCGUUUAAAAUCAUAUCAUACGUCGUAUUUUAUUAAUAACCGUCGUUUGUGUUCUUAAUCUUUUCCUGAAAUAUUUUCACUUGCAGUUUUGUCUGUAAAAAUGGUUUCUCAAGACCAAAGUAAGGACUCUGGCUCCAAGAAAAAUGGAGGUAAGGAGCUUGGAAUGAUAACUCCUCAAGAGAAGUCUUCGAAGAAGAUGAAGUUUGCUUCAUCAUCUGCUGAGACAGCCAACCAGCACGACAACAAUCUCUGAUGAUUCAAAGUCUGGUCGAGGUAUGAGCACAAUGCCUCGCGUUGUGAAAAGAAAACUUCAGAAACUCAGGCCAUUGUUGAGUACAAUAAAAGGGGGAAAGGAAUUGGCCAAGCACAUUUUUAAAUUAUAUAAACUAGUUUUAAGGGUAUUAAUUUUUAACGACGGUGGUUGAGUCGUGGAAUACAUAUGUUACGUCGUGCAGUAAAAUAUCCGACAUGGUUUCUACUUUAAACGACGUCAUUUUAAUAUGUAAGUCGUCUAUUAUAAUUUACAACGUCUUCAAUUUCUUAACCCCGACGUGGUUUGUUAUUGUGAUAAGAAUAUUUUAUUAUUUUUAUAUCAAAAUAUUCAAAAUAAAUUUAAAAUAAAUCAGAAAAAUGCAAAGUCAACUCCUAUGAAGUCAUUGAUAUAUUUUCUUCCCCCUAAACCAUGAAAAAAUUCAUUUUGAAUAACAAAAAUUUAAAAUGACCAUCCAAAACAAAAUUGUUUUGAUAAGUCAUAAAAUCACUUCUAGUUUUAUGGUUUAGGGUUUAGAGUCUAGGGUUUAGAGAUUAGGGUUGUUAUUUAUUGAGGUUUAUUUUUAAAGUAUAAUUAUUGGGUAGUCUAGGGUAUAUAUUAGGCUGUAAAACCAUAAACCCUUUGAUAAACUUAAUUUUUUAAAUUAUAUAAUUUAGUUUUAAGGGUUUAGGGUAUUAAUUUUUAACGACGGUGGAUGAGUCGUGGAAUACAUAUGUUACGUCGUGCAGUAAAAUAUCCGACAUGGUUUAUACUUUAAAAGACGUCAUUUUAUAUGUAAGUCGUCUAUUAUAAUUUACAACGUCUUCAAUUUCUUAACCCCGACGUGGUUUUUCAGUCGUCUUUAUAUCAAAAUAUUCAAAAUAAAUUUAAAAUUAAUCCGAAAAAUGAAGCGUCAAAAUAAACGGCGUUACGUUCAGUGUUUCCGUCGUGGAAUAUUACAUUUACGUCGGUUCUUGUAGAACUUUCGCCAUGGUUUUUCUUUUGACGUUUUAAAGAGCGCGCUCUCUAAAAAUUUUCGCGCGACCUAAAUUUUUUAGAUUUGGCUCUUAUUCUUAUACUUCUAACCCUGAACCCUAAAAUUUUCAGAUUUCGCGCAACAUAACAUUUCGCUCUCUCACUUCUGCUCUAAUUAAAAGUUGCACUCUCCAGGCUCCGUCGAAUCUGUGAGCUCGUCCAACCUGUAAGUACAAACCUUAUCUUUCCCUUGUAAAUUCAUUGAAUGAUAUUAGGUUGUUUUGUUAAAGGGUUUUAGGUAUAUGCUUUGCGAUCUGUUAAUAAUGUGCUUAUAGGUAUGGGUUCAUGGAUUUUCUGUUUAAUGGAUUCAUGGAUUACAUUAUCUGUUAUGUUGAAUUGGGAAUGGAUUUAAUUUUGUCAGAUCUUUUAAUCACCCUAUGUUGUGUUGAAUUGGGAAUGGAUUUAUUGUUUUCAUGCUUGGUUUCAUGUAUAUGUUGGUUUCUUGCUUGGUUUCAUAUAUAUGUUGUGUUCUUAAUGGGUUUUGGGUUCUUGAAAAUAAACUGAGACACGACGCCUUUUUAGGCAUACGACGACGAUUACACGACGGUUUUUUUAAACUACCGUUGUAUUACUUAUACACAACGGUUUUUUCAUAAACCGUCGUUUGUAUUACUUAUAUUAGACGACGUCUGUUAAAAAUCCGUCGUCUAUAUAUGCCAAAUACGUCUGUUUUUGUUUAAAAUCCGUCGUCUCUGUUGUGUAUUACUUGCUAUUAGAUCUUUGUAUAAUCUACUACAGUGAUGGUCAUUGCCUGUAUUUUCACUUUAUUAUAGAUAAUAGGUUAUAGUGUCGAAGAUGGAUAAGUCAUGGAUGCACUCGGAUAGAAGAUCGAAGGCAUAUGAGUUUGGGGUGGAAGCAUUUUUGAACUUUGCUGUAGAAAAUCUUCUAACUACAACACAUAUCCGUUGUCCAUGUGUUAAAUGUGUUAAUUUGAAGUUGUUUGGGGUUGGAAUUAUAAGGGAUCACGUAUACUUUAAUGGAGUUGACCAAAGCUAUAAGAAUUGGACAUUUCACGGAGAACCUUGGGAAGCAACUACUAAUGCUAGUAGAAAUGUUGAAGAAGAUGAUGGCCAUAGUAGGCACAGUUUUGUGUCUGAAGAAAUUGAUAUGGAUGAUAAUGAUUUUGGUGAUUUUGGUUCCGAUCCGUAUGAGUUUGCCAAUGUGAUUGGGGAUGGAGAUCAACCAGUGUACCCUGGUUGUAGAAAGUACACGAAGUUAUCGGCAUUAGUGAAGUUGUAUAAUUUAAAGGCAAAACAUGGGAUGAGUGAUGUCUGUUUUACAGAAUUAUUGAUACUUCAAGGCGAUUUGCUUCCAGAAGGAAAUACAAUACCAACCUCUAUGUAUGAGGCUAAAAAGACUUUGUGUGCAUUGGGGCUGAGUUAUGAGAAAAUGCACGCAUGCCCCAAUGAUUGCAUCUUGUAUAGGAAGGAGUAUGAGGAUUUAACUAAUUGUCCUACUUGUGGUAUCUCAAGGUGGAAGGAAGGCAAAGAUUCAAUCUUGAAAGAGGGUGUGCCAGUGAAGGUGGUGUGGUAUUUUCCUCCAAUUCCAAGGUUUAAAAGGAUGUUUCAAUCACAUGAGACAGCUAAGAGUUUGACUUGGCAUGCUGCUAGAAAAUCAAUUGACGGUCAGAUGUCUCAUCCGGAGGAUUCCCCGUCUUGGAAACUUCUUGAUGAUAAAUGGCCUGAGUUUGGUAAUGAGCCGAGAAACUUGAGAUUGGCUCUUUCAUCUGAUGGAUUCAAUCCCCACAGUUUUCUAAGUAGCAGAUAUAGUUGUUGGCCGGUUAUCUUAGUUACAUAUAAUCUCCCUCCAUGGCUGUGCAUGAAACGAAAGUUCAUGAUGUUAACCUUAUUGAUUUCCGGUCCUAAACAACCCGGAAAUGAUAUAGACGUUAUCAAUGCCUAAUAGAGAAUAUAAUGAUGUUAUUGGUGAUGAAGUCUUAGGUGAUGUGAUAAUUGAGUGUGAGCCAUUUACUAGAGGGAUGCCAAAUGUUGACACAUUUGAUGAACUGGUGGGUGAGUUAGGUGGUCAAAAUAUUCGAGAUGGGUGUGAAGAUAUAUGGAUUGAAUGAUGCUUAUGUAAUUGGCAGUGUAUGACAUUAAUUUUGUAAUAUAUUGUAAUGUGAUUUCUUCACUUUCAUUAUACAGGUUUUGGCCACAAAACAAUCAGUGCAAAAAAUACUGGUUCCAGAUUACAUCAUUAUAUUCUGCAUAAAAAACGACGUCUGUUCAAAUAAAACACGACGUUAUUGUGAACCAGUUAUUCAGCAUAUUUACCGACGUCUUAAAGCAACGUAACAAUGAAGAACCACGACGCUAUUGUGAAGCAAUUAUUCAGGAUAUCACGUCGGGGAAGGAUUAAGAACCGCCAUGUAAUUCAAAAUAACACGACUCCAAUCCCAUAAUACCGACGUCUAAAAAACGAGAUAUAUAAUCUGAACGUUAAAAAAUACGACGUCAUCAUACAUUUUCCACGUCGCAAGUUCUUUUAUAAACGAAGAGGAACGAAAUGAAUUCCGACGGUAAUUCAUUAUAACCGCCGUCUAAUAUCAAUUAAACGACGUUAUUUGUAAUACGGCUCUCAUCAUAAUCAACGCCGUCUAUAUGUUCUGUAAUACGGCUCUCAUUUAUUUGGAACCGACGUUGUUUAGAAGUUCAACGUCGUCUAUAUUAAUAAGUGCGUCGUGAGUAAUGAAUACAUAUAAAUAAAACGUCGACUAUAUAAAUGCCACCGACGUUGUUUCGCAUUUCAACGUCAACUAUAUAAAUACAUACGUCGUAAAUAAUGACACUGACAACUAUUUCCACGUCAUCUUUUUUAGAAAAAUCGAAGUGGAAAAUUUAUUUCACGACGGUUGUUUGUAAAUAAGAGACGUAGUAGAUUUCAAUAACGUCGUCUUCUCAUGUAUUUAAAGACGUCAUUUUUUUUCUUGUCGUGAAAAUUAUAUUUAACGGCGUAGUGUUUUAGUUGUCGUCGUUGUAUGUCUAUCUUGCGGCCUUGUUCUUUUAAUAUGUGUCAUAUUUUUCUUUUUUAACGACGGUGAUUUGUUUGAGUUGGUCGUCUAUUCUCAUCCUCGACUAUUUUUUAGAACUUUAGCAGACCAAACACGUCUGUUUUUAUUUGUUUUCGACGUUGUUUUAUUUAACAACGUCUAAUAUUUAUCAUCGUUGUUUGUUUCUGAAAAUAGGACGUAUAAAUUUUGUAAUACGACUCUCAUAUAUUUGUAACCGACGUUGUUUCGUUGUUCAACGUCUACUCUAUAAAUACAUACGUCAUAAAUAAUGACACUGACAACUAUUUCCACGUCAUCUUUUAUAGAAAAAUCGAAGUGGAAAAUUUAUUUUACGACGGCAGUUUUUAUAUAGGCGACGUAGUAGGUAUCAAUAACGUCGUCUUCUAAUGUAUUUAAAGACGUCAUAUUUUUUAUUGUCGUGAAAAUAAUAUUUAACGGCGUCUUAUUUUAAUUUUCGUCGUUGUAUGUCUAUCUUGCGGCCUUGUUCUGUUAAUAUGUGUCAUAUUUUUCCUUUUUAACGACGGUUUUUUUAGAGAGUUGGUCGUCUAUUCUCAUCCUCGACUGCUUUUUUAGAUCUUUUUACAGUACAAAGACGUCAUUUUGUAUUUGUUGAUGACGUUGUAUAUUUUAACAACGACGGUGAUUUAGCGUCGUGGUUUAUGAGGGAAAAGAUGACGGUGGAUUCCACGACCAUUGAAAAACCGAAUACACGACGGUGAUUUACCAUCGUCUUUUUGCUUUUUUGUAGUAGUGACAGACAUACUAAAAUCAAUGGCAUACACCUUAAAUAAUAUAAUGUUAUAUUUUAGGUAUUCUUCAAGAAAAAUUAAAAAUAUGAAACUUCAAAUCACAGGCGGAGCAGCAAGCAAACACCAAAGGCUUUUAAGAUACAUGCAAUAAUUUAUAGGGUUAAUUACAGUUUAGUACCUUAUAGUUACACUCUUAAGACAUGUUAGUCCCUAUCUUUUCAAUUUUUACAAUAAUAUACCCCGGUCUUUUAAAUUUGUUACAAUGCGGUUCCACCGUUAGGUUUCCAUCAGAUCUCUCUCUCUCUCUCUCUCAUUUCUGUUUCUUGGUUUUGCAUUUUUCUCAGCUUCUUCUAAAAAUCCAUGGACAACAAUCAGCCACUCUCUCUUGGCACCUCAUUUCCAUUUCUUUCUUGGUUUCGCAUUUUUCUCAGUUUCUUCAGAAAAUCCAUGGACAGCAAUCAGCCCAAAAGUCCUCAGACCUUCAACAAAAAAAACCUCCUUUUCACUUAAAUUCUAUCCUUAGUUUUCACUGCCAACCCAGACACCAUUAACAGCCCUGUCAACCCAACAAGACCUAAAACCCAGCAACCCAGCUCAGAAGCCCUAUCUUUAUAAACCCAACUCAAGUUAUUUACAAAAAAAAAAAACCAAGAGGAGCAUGAUUCAUGAGGAAAUCUGGGUUGGGGGGGGGAGGGGGGAUUGGAAGAAGAAGGGAAGAAAUCAGGGCUAGGGUGGAGGGUAAGAAGAAAUCAGGGGGUGGGGGGAGAAGAAAUCGAGGCUGGAGUUCUGGCGGAGAAAUCUCGCAGGGAGGGGGGGAGAACAAAUCGGGACGAAGAAAGAGGGAAGAAAUUGCACGGGGGGAGAGGGGAGAUAUUAAUCUGGGGAUCUGGGGGAAGAAGAAAUCGGGGCUAGUGGGUUUGUGGGGGUUGGGGUGGAGAGUGGCUGUGAGAUGGGUUUGGGGGUUGGAGCUUGCAGGUGGUUAUCAUGGGGGAAUAGGGAAGAAGAAACCGGAGAUUUAUAUAUAUAUAUAUUUAUUUAUUUAUUUUAAAAAUUUUAAAAUUAAAAAAGAAAAAAAAUGUGGGAUCCAUAGAGCCACGUAGGCAAUUAACGAAGAGAUCUAACGGAAACCUAACGAUGGAACCACAUUGUAACAAAUUUAAAAGAUCAGGGUAUGUUAUUGUAAAAAUUAAAAAGAUAUGGACUAACAUGUCUUAAGGGUGUAACCACAAGGUACUAAACUAUAAUUAACCCUAGUUUAUAUUCUAUUCUUUCAAUCUGAAAAUAUAUAUUUUGAUGCUAUUGUCAUGCGUGGGUGGUGGCAAUCACGUCUAUGUCAUUGUCACCCUUUUACCCCCAUUGGUUUUUUCUUAGAUCCUAUAUGAUUUGUGAAUUAGGAACUUGAGAAUGGAUUACUAAACUAACUGGAUGAUAUUUUUGAAUAACUAGACUUAUGAAGAAAUACUCGAGCUGACAAAAAAAGAAUGAAGAGAUACUCAAGUCAGACUAGAAAGAUAAUUUUCUAGUUAGGAUUUUGAUAUCACUAUUGGGAUAAAGUUUCACAUUGGAAAAACACACAAUAAUAUGAAUGCUUAUAAUGACUUAAGUAAUACUUUGUUAUUGCCGAGUCUAGUAGCGUAGGCUUAUAACUAAGUAGGACAUUAAAGAGAUUGGUUGUUUGAACAAAGUUUUGUCAGAUGAGGUGUGAUGCUCUUUAAUCAUUCACUACGGUGAAAUCGAACAACCCUCUACCCUCGAGUAAUUAGGGCCACCCAACCAAAACGGGUGGGGGAUAACACAAAACUCUAAAAGUUUGAUUGGGGUUGUUGGGUAACUAGAAAAAAAAAAAAAAAAAAACCUGGACCUCAACCACACAUAAAUAUAUAUAUAUAUAUAUAUAUCUUCUAUUGAGGGAUCCCUCAAAUUAGCUUAUUUGAGGGACAUCCUUAUAAGACCCACUUCGUACUGUAUUUCACAAAUCCAAACCGUCUAUUUUGUAGAUACUCAUUCAAAAAUCAUCUCUACAAAAAAUUCUUGAAUCCGAUAUAAUUUGACCACUCAAUUGAAUUAUUGAAAUUUUAGUAUUUUCUUGAAGCACCAUUUUAAUUGACUUUGUAGGACACAAUUGGAUAUCGAAAUAGUUUCCGAUUUGUCUAAUUUUUUACAAGGAUGAUAUAUGAAUGUAGACUUUUAAAAUUGAUGGUUUGGAUCGUUGAAAAAAAAAUCAUAGGGGAACCUAAAUGUGUCUCUCAAAUAAAAUUAUUUGAGGGAUCCCUCAAUAAAAGGGGACUAUAUGUAUAUAUAUAUAUAUAUAACAUAUUUAAACCCCACACUUCUCUUAGUUCACCCCAUGUUCUAAGUUCACCCCAACUUUUAAUUUAAAUUUUCACAAUUUCUAAGAAAACCCCACUAUCUUCCCAAACUACCCUUAAGUACACCCCAAACUGAAAAAAUUAGAACUAAAAGAGAUUUUCUAUUUAAACCCCACAAUUUUCUUUGUUCCCAGCAAAAAAAAAAAAAAAACACACACACACACACAAACAAAUGAAACCCCAAAUCCAAAAUUUAAUACUUUCUAGAGAAAGAGAACAGCUUUACCUCUCUCCAAGAACUGUAACUGGAAUUCUAACACUUGGGUAUUGUUGAGAGAGAGUGAGUGAGUGAGUUUGUAAACAGGAAGUUGAAAGGAGGUUUCUAAAACUUAAUAUGAAGCGUGGUGGGGUGUGUGUGGUGUGUGUAUAGAUGUACUAGGGUUAAUUAUGAAGUUGGAUGACCUUUUUUUGUCUUUUUACACAAUAAUAAAACUUACAACUUAAUGAUUUAAGUAUUGGGGUGAACAAAGAGAAGUGUGGAGUUUAAAUAGAAAAUCUAUAUAUAUAUAAUGUUCUUUUAUUUGUUGCAACUUAAUAAAUCAAUAAAUUGGUUCAGUUUCUACAUUUAUUUGUUUAUAAUUAUUGGAUUAUACCUAUGAUGAUAGAAGGCUGCGGAGAGGAUUUAGGUGUACUUGCAUUGAAGCACAAAGAUAGCAAAGAUUUCUUCAAGAAAGGGUAUUGACCCAUUCUCCCACAUCGACUAGUUGAAGGAAGGAGGAGAACGGAGCUAUGUAUAAAAAAAUUAGUCCAAGGCAUAAACAAGCAUACCUUUCUCGGCCUUUUGGCUAAGAUCAAGUGUAGUAUCUGUUCUUAUCAGUUUAAUAUCUGAUACGUGGGCCAAUGGCUCACACGAUAUUAAAUUAAUUUCUUUAGGGGGAGGGUCCACUACAGUAGCUUGCUAUUGGGGCUCUCUAGUGUCGCCCAAGCGUUGCACUACUGCAUGGGCUUGGCGCACCCCACCAAAUCUAAUUUAAGUUUUUUAGAGCACUUCUACCUCAAUAGGCAAAGGCAAGGAAGUAAGGCAAGGUUUGUCACUAUUUACAUGAAUAGUGGCAUCCUUUUCCUUUCUUGUUUUCACCCCAAAGAGUAGGGAUAAGGGUAAUUACUAUUCAAUCUAAUUUAUUUUCUAUUUUUUAUACUUAAACUAUUAAUUUUGAUAAUCUUUUCAGGUAAGAUUUUCGAUUGCCACGUGUCAUUAUUUUCACCUAAAAUUUUAGAUAACAUUUUCGGAUAAAAAUUUCGAAAUAAAUUUUCGGUUGCCAUGUGUCCAUAUUUUGUUAUAACAUUCAGAUCUCAAAUUUCACAUAAGAUUUUUGGAUUCUCGGUUGCGACUUGUCGAUAUUUAUUGUAAAAUUAUAAUCUCAUAUUUCAAAUAAGUUUUCACCCUCUAAAAUUGCGCCACGUGUUAUCUGUAUCUUCUAAAUCCCUUUAUAAAACUACACCCUCAACUUUGACCUCUCACACCAUAUCUUCUCUAUCCUUUCAUUUCUUAGAUUUUACAAAAUAGAUUCUACUCUCAGUGUCUAACCUGAGGAGGGUGUUGGAGAGGCAACAACGAGAAGAUGAAGAAAUCAGGCGCAGACAUGCUGAAAAAGAUCAUGAGUUGGAUGAAGAGGAGGAAGAAGUUGUUUUAGCAGUGGGUAUGUUACUUUAUCCUAAAUUUGUUAUGUCAUGUUUCUUACUUUCGAGGGAGAUAAAGAAUCCAGCCCCAUUUGUUCCAAAAAAAAUCAUGCAUGAUUUUUGCAAUUACGACACACACUUCUUUCAGAAGUACGAUGCUCUUGGGGUUUUGGGUCUUCUUCAGGAGCAAAAACUUACAACUACUUUGCGGCUGCUUGAGUAUGGGGCAUCUGCAGACUAGGUGGAUGAGAUUGCUAGGAUGGAGAAAUCAACUAUCCUAGAGUGCUUAGUUAGAUUAUGUGUUGCAAUAAAAAAAACCUCCACACGAGGAAGUACCUCCCCAAACCGACGCCUAGGGACCUUUGAAGGCUUCUACGAAAAGCCAAGGCUUGAGGUUUCCCAUGCAUGAUUGGAAGCAUCGACUGCAUGCACUAGCAGUGGAAGAAUUGCCCAACUGCUUGAGUAGGAGAUUAUGGGAAUAGGAAGGGCCAAAAAAGUAUAAUUCUGGAGGCCGUUGCGUAAUUCAAUACUUAUGUUUGGCAUGCCUUUUUCGGAGUUGCCAGACCUCAAAAAUACCUCAAUGUGCUUGGUCAAUCCCCGGUAUUCAAUGAUGUCUUGAGGCAAUCAAUGAGAAGACAAUACAAAAAACUUAAUUAUGAGAAAUGAAGGCAGAGAACUCAAAUGGAGAAAGCUAAUAUGGAGAAAGUUAUAUAUAGAGAAGGGAAAUAUAAGAAUAAAAAGUGACAAGUAAGGCAGUUAUUGUAGCUCAAAUGGUUAAGAACAAUUACCCCUACAUUUGAGGUCUUAUGGUUGAUUUUUCACUCUUCAAUAUUGCUAAUGUUUUUAUAUAAAAAAAGAAAAGAAAAGAAAAAGGCGAGAAUGAUACCAAGUGUGCCUGUAUGGCAAGGCAAUUGAACGUGAAGGAGAACUUGACGCAAAGUACAAAGUGAAAGAGAAUUAGAUGCAUUAAUUGCUUACAAACCUCAACUAGGUUCGAAUCAGAGUCUUAAUGAAAAAACUAUGGUUCGCAGGGAUUCGACCCUAAUGGGUCAGGUAUGAAGGACCAAAAAAGGGUAUGGGGAUGGGUACGGUGUUCGAGGAGUGGCGGGGAUGGUAUUUGAAUCCCCAACCCAAACCAUCCCUAUUUAGAAUAUGUAUAUGUAUAUAUAUAUAUAUAUAUAUUAAUUUUUUGAUGAGGUGUAUAGUAUAGGGUAUAUAAAUAUGCUAUUAAAGUGAUUCUACCAACUAAGUUUUAUAUUUUUAUAUUAUUAUAUUAUAUGCUUAUAUAAUUUAUACAAAUCUUAAGCCACAUUAUUUAUGUAUUUAGUUAACUUCCUAUAUAUAUAUAAACAUUCUUAUAUUGUCUUAUAACUAUAUAUUAUAUAUAUUCAUUAUCUUGCCUUAGUAAUUUCUUUUUCAACAAGGUAGUUAUAUAUUGAGUUUUUCUUCUCUAAUGAGGCGGGUCGGAGAAUCCAUUCUCCAACGAAGGUGUGGAUUGGGAAUCCCCAGUAGAAUAUGGCUGGGAUGAAGGCGGGGAUAGGGAAAAAAAGCUUAACGGGGCUGGGAUGAGAAUGGUAUACCGACCCCCGAUUCGACCCAUUGCCAUUCCUAGGUUAGCGGAGCUACAUGGCAUUUUUUGUAUUUUGGAAAAAAAAUGAUAUAAAUAGCAUGCCCUUUUUCUUCUUCCUCUCUCUUGCUCUCUCAUGUUCUUCAGUUGCUACUAGGGAUGGACUUACCCUUUGACUAGCCUGGGCUAUAACCAGGUGACUUUGUCUUUUUAAGCCCAAACUACCUGCAUUGUACAAACAAUCGCAACUUCUUUUAUUUUUUGGUCUAACCCCCACUUAUUUUCUUUCUAUGGUAGUUGAUAACCCUUCUUUACUUCACACACACCCCUGCACGUAGAAAAUAGAAAAGUGAUAUGUAAUAGAUGUGUUUUGAGGGAUAAAACUUAUUAUGUCAAUCUAAUUAGGUGUAUCUUUUUGUUAUCAAUGAAAUUUACUCGUACUGUCGAGUUUAACAGAUGUGUGCGUAAGGUAAAUUUAGCCUACUCCAGUUUGAAAUCCUGGGUCCGUCCUUACAAUAACCAUUUAUGACCGUUUGAUUUCCUGGUGAUCAAACGUUGUCGUCUGGCCACCAUUGCUUCCUGCACAAAACGUCUUCUCCAUCCUCCCCUCCAUCAAUGCCCCCGCAAAAUCAGAACCUGUAACGUCCUACAUCGCAUGCAAAAUCGAUGGGGUGAGUCACGUGGCUAUAACCUUAAAAUCGUGUCCAUGAUAUGAACAAUACAAUUAUUCCUUGAUUGCAAGUAAUGAAAUUCUUGAGUGCUGAACUUUGAACUUAUAGAAUGUGUCAUCAAAUUUCAAAAUAAAAAUUUGAAUACCAUGGGAGCAUAACGUAUUCAUUUUUGUCCUAUCUUUUUUCUCAUUGUUUUAGGUCUUUACAUUUAAAACCUAUAUUUGCUUUCGUGCAGUGUAGCUUCUCGUGAAUCAAUUGGAACCCUUAACUGAGCAGAAAUUAAUUGGUGGGUAUUUACAACUUCCAGCAAUCAUCCCAGUAGGCUGAAGAUGCUCUAUCACAAGGGAUGGAGGCAUUGCAGCAAUCCCCAUCUAAGACAUUGGCCAUGUUGAAGAUUUAAAGAAAUAUAAGAAUCUGGAAAAAAGCGACCAGUCGCUUUAGGGAAACAACUAGUUGGUUUUAGGCAGAGGCUUCGAAGCCUGAAGUGGCUCUCACAAAACAUAUUGCCAAAUUGGGAACUGUCACACGGUUUAGUUGGUGUACAGUUUCAAAGCACAUUUUGAGUGCUUAGAUGUGUCGCUUGAUGAAUAAGUGUUCGAAUUACAUAUAUGAAUGUUAGAAACACUUCAUAUACACGAUUUAAACACAGUGACACUCUUACAUGAAGGGAUGUGUCCUCAUUGAAGUGAUACCUUUUGAUUAAGAGGUGCAAUCCAAGAGAUGCAUGGUUUUCUGAUGGUUUCAGGUUAAAAAAAGUCGGGUCUUUGAGGGAAAUUACAAAGGGGAGGCAUGGGAGUGUUUUGGAACCCACUUGGUGCCCGGUGGUGGCCGGAGUUGGCAAAAACAAAUGCCGGAAGUCACGGUUUUUGAUAGGCCAAUUUGAGUUGGGUUUUCAUUCCAAAUUUUGGCUUAAGGUGGAAAUCGGUAUGGAUUAAAGAGGAGAGAGGGACGAAAAAAUUGGAACUAGUUUCGUGGCCGAAUGAUGCCCGAAGCCGCCGAGGUCGUGGUGGCUGUAACAGAGGAAAGAGAGAGAGGUUGAGAGAGAGAGAGAGAGAGAUUUGAUUGGUCACUUAAAAAUCUGACUUUUUGGAAUAUUUACGAUUGUGCCACUGCACUUCUGUUGGCCAUAACUUCUUUGUUAAAACUCCAAUUUGAGCCCAGUACGUGUCUACGAAGUCGUAUCAAUGCGCUCUACACAAUGGUGCCAUUCAAUUCCCCAAAAUACUACUGGAUUAAAAAGUGACCAAAAUGACCCUAUCCCAAGGCCAAAAGUGUAAUUUCAUAAUUAAAUAAUUAAAAUCGGGUCGGGUUGUUACAUUUUUAUUGUUUGUGGCUUUAUUUCUCAUCAUAUCAUGGUUGUAGGAUUUUAUUCUUAUGACUAUGGUAUGACUCACAUCAUGAUUCGGGAAUAUUCUUCAUUUUCAAAUUGGGUCAUGACAUUUUACAUGUGUGCUUUACAAGAAAAUAGAUACAGUAAUCAAUUAGGAUUAUAUCUCUUAAUUAGACAAUGAUAUGUAAACUAUAUAAAAUAAGAAAGUAAAUUCCUUAACUAACUAAGGAAAUAAAUCUCCUUGAUUAAUGAGGAAUGCUCACGUCAUCAAUUCACCUCUGAAAUGCCAUUGCUACAUUCAACAAUAUAUGAAGACUUAUUCCAUUUUCUAUUCGGUGGUGCUGAACUUGUGAUUCUUCUUGUCUCAGCCUAAGCAUAGAUAAACCAAAAUUGUAUAGUGAAAGAAUGAAAAUAAAACAAAUUUAAAGCUAGAAAAUGAAACAAAUUUAAAGCUAGAAAAUGAAAAAUAACUUAAAGUUAUUGUUAGUUUUUAGUUUUCAUUUUCGACAAUAGUCCAUACACAUUCUUCCACCUCCCUCCUACCAUCGUUCCCUUACCGUCCUUCAUCGCUGACAUUUUCAUAUAUUUCCUUUAUUAUCUCUAUCAAGAAUAUUUAAUUUUUUAAGAAAAAAAAAAAGAGAAAAACUUACCAUCUCAACAUCUGUAUCCUUAGAAAAACUUUCGCAAAGUUCUAAUGAGACCAAAAUAUCUCCAAUCCUCGCCGGUGGCACUCUUUUUGUCUUUGCUUGAACUUGUGCAAAACGAUUAUGUGAGAGUGAUUGGUCAAGGCCCUAAGCCACCAGAACAACCUAUGAGAGAAAGAUUUGAUGUUUCGGACGUCAAAUCUUUGAGAGAGAAAAUUUUCUUAUGUACCAAUCAGACCAAUAAGUCACUAAAACAACCUAUGAGAAAUUGGCAACAUCUCUAUAUAAAUUAUGUGAAUGAUUAUUUUCACUUGCUACAAGUGGCACCUUUUCUUGUAUGGAGGUGGAGAGUACCGAUGAGAUGCUUAUAUGUGAAGUACUAGGCCUAGAUAUUUUCAUGAAGAGAAAGAGAUGGCGAGAGAGUUAUAACAUCAUUGAGAAGCUAACCUUGCCUAAUCCUCUAUUAUUAAGAAACCCAAAAAAAAAAAAAAAAAAAAAAAGAGUUAUAACGACUAAACAAGGAAGAAUGGAGGCAACAAGGCAAAACAAAGGAGAGAAGACAUCAAAUGCACAUGGUAUGAGAAUGGAGAAAUGCUCUAGAUUUAUAGGAUAGAGAGGGUCUGAUUUUGUUUUUGGUAGAAAAUACAAUCUACCAUAAAAAUUUUGCACAUAGGAAAAGGGAGGUGUACGGAAAUAUAACUAAAUGUGAGCUUUCAACCUUUUUCCAAAACUAGAGUCGGGUGAUUACGGAGUCACGAGGUCGCUCUCUCGUUUUAUACGAGGAGAGUCUUGACGGCUAGAGUUUUCCUUGUUUUCCACGGGAAGAGUAUUGGUCCUCUACGUGUUCUUGAAAUAGUCUCUCCUAGUGCUCUCCAAAUUGGUAUAUGGUAUCUGGAUCUCGUCCUUUCCUACUCUGAUUUGGUUUUUAUGGUUUCGAUUUGGCAGUUGUUCUUGUUUUUGUAUCGUCUCUGGCACAUUUCGUAUUGAGACUUGGGCUCUUCAGUUUCUGGCAGCGUCUCUCUCCACGGUACAGGUUUUUUUGCUCUUCGUCUUUCUCCAAAUCGGACGCAGACUGUUUUUUUGGUUUUUGGUCCUGCUUGUAUGGGGGAGAGGGGCAUCUCACUUUCGGCUGGGGAGCCAACCCUCAACGAGAUUGGGACUUCACUCGAGCGACAACUUGUGCUCACAGCUUGGGAGAAGGUAUGGGUGGUGAUAGGGGCUUCUGCAUUAUCUGAUCGAUUUAUGGGUUUUAUUUAUGGCCUUGUUGCAAAAGUGCUAACGCCGCAGGAAGUCAAUCGUGAUGCUUUUAUCAAGAAUUUUUCCAGCUUAUGGAAAUGUAAGGAGGAUGUAUCAAUUAAGGAAAUUGCUCAAAAUCGAUUUUGGGUUCGAUUUGUUUGUGAUCGUGAUCGCUGUCAAGUUCUUGAUACUGAACCAUGGGCCUAUCGGAGGUCCCUCGUCCUACUGGCAGAGACGCCAGAUGAUGGCUCUAUCCACGUAGUGCCAUUACGUUAUGGGACCUUUUGGGUUCAAUUGCAUGGUAUUCCGGGUUUUUGUAUGACAGUUGCUGUUGCUCAAGCUGUUGGGGCCAUUUUUGGUGAGGUAUUAUGGGUGGACAAUCGAGAUGGGGAUGAUUGUGUGGGUCGAUUUAUUCGUAUCCGAGCCUAUUUUGAUGUUGAUUUGCCUCUAAUAUAUCGCACACUUGUUACUCUUCCCGACAUUGGGGAGAAACUGAUAGAGUUCAAGUAUGAAUACCUUCCGGAGUAUUGUUUUGCUUGUGGUAGACUUGGUCACUCGACUCAGGUUUGUGUCAGGGCAUAUGAAGAGGUGCAUGGUUGGUUUACUGUUCCCUCCUUAAAUCAGUUCACAACGGCAUUUGCAUGAUUGGAAGCCGAUACCAACCUGCGAGGAAAACCUAUCAGGACUUUGGCUCGUUAGUCCCCCCCCGCCUGUAUCACAUUCCCGCGGUAGCUCCCAUUUAUCACCAAGUGAUGGGCCAUAGCACUAGGAGCACCGUGGCCGUGAAGAGCUAGUUGAUUCUGCUUCUUCCCCGAGCAAGUGUAGGCAGGAAAAAAUACUAGCUGCUUUUGAGAAUUUGUCGGCUCAGGUUGAUUUUCCAAAACGAAGUUUUCGGUAGUCUACCCUUCAUGAGCUGCCAGUCGUGGGAACAACUAUCUCUGAGUUGAAUCAUAUGUUGCCUAUGGAAUUGGAGGCACAAACUGAGCAACCAAUGAAGGUUGCGACCCUGGUGGAAGGGGUGACGUCCCUAUGCGGCAAACACUAUCGGAUUCUGAUCUGUUUAAUUUUAUGCCUCUCAUUGAGCAGUUAGGAAGACUCAAUACAAAGCGUGGUAGGGGUCGCCCCAAAACGAUAUUGGUAGGAGAAAUAGGUCGGCAUGGGUCAGAUGGUGAUUGUCAGUGCCGAGUAAGGUGGUGGCAAGCGUCAGUUGUGUAUUGAUUGUUCAACUGAACAGGUGGAGGAGACCAACCUUGAGGGGUCUCCCAAGUCUCAAUGUUAGUAUUCAGUUGGAACAUUCGUGGGCUUGACAUCCGACGAACAUUCCGAUACCUGAAGAAUUUUCUUCAGGAUAAGAUGCCAGACUUGAUCUUCCUUGCUGAAACGCGUAUGACUACGAUUCAGAUGGGAAGUUUUGUCACGAAAUUAGGUAGUGGUGGGGCUGUGUGUGUACCCCGUGAUGGUUUAUCUGGUGGUUUGUGUAUGCUUUGGAAACAAGGUUUAAGUGUUCAAUUGAUUUCCUCUUCUGUCGAGCAUAUUGACGUGUUGGUCACUUAUCCUACCUCUCAAGUUAUUAGAGUGACUGGUUUCUACAGUCACCCUAAGCCCAGUCAGCGCCGACACUCAUGGGAAUUACUCCGGCGUCUAAGCUAUAUCACUACGGCUCCGUGGUUAUGUUGUGGUGACUUGAAUGAAGUUUUGUCAUUUGAUGAGAAGAGUAGUAACAGACCCCAUUCUGAAUCCCAGAUUGAGGAUUUCAAACUUGUUGUUUUGGAUUGCAAGUUAUUAUCUUUUGACUAUGUCGGCCACCCUUUUACGUGGACGAAUAAUAGGAAGAAUGAACACAAUGUGCAAGCGCACCUUGAUCGAGGUUUUGGAAAUCAGUAGCUUAUGUCUCAGUGGGGUAACUUUACAAUUUAUCAUUUAGUGAUGUUUUCUUCUGAUCAUCACCCUCUUCUUAUUGUCAUAGAUACUCAAGACUCCUAGGUUGGUCGAACCCCUAGGGGGCGAGGCCAGUUUCACUUCGAAGAGCUAUGGUCUAAGGAUGAUGAAUGUGGUGUGGUAAUUAAAAAUUCUUGGUUAUCUUCGGCUACCCCUAUAGCAAAUAUCGCGCACUGUACUUAGCAACUUUCAUCCUGGAAACAGGCGAAAUUUGGUGAUCUCAAAAGUAAAGUUGAAGUGCUAUGCCAACAUAUUGGUUCCUUUCAAGUUGCUCCACCGACUGAUGUUAAUUUCCACAGCAAAAAAUUAUUGGAAUGUGAGUUGGAUAAAUUACUGGAACUUGAUGAAAUUUAUUGGUGACAAUGGUCUAGGGUGACUUGGCUUCAAUAUGGGGACCAAAAUACUUCUUAUUUCCACAAAGUCGCGAAUCACAGGGCUAAGACGAACUUUAUGCAUGGUAUACUAGAUGCCCAAAAUCACUUGUAGUAUGAUUAUCAGAAGGUGGGCGACAUUUUCCUGGAUUUCUAUCACCAUCUUUUUUCUUCUGAACGCGGUUAUAUGGUGGCUGAAAUUUUUAAUGCUUUAAAAAAACAUGUCCCUCAGAUGACUCAGCAUGCACUAAACUUGGAUUUUACAAGGGAUGAGGUUGAAGCCACCUUAUAGUCUAUGGCUCCAACGAAAUCUCUAGGUCCGGAUGGGAUGCUUGCUUUAUUUUACUAGAAGUAUUGGCAUGUUGUGGGGGUGAUGUCUGCCCCAGCUCUGUCUGAAUGUUCUCAAUGGUUGUGAUAGUGUCGUGAGUUUUAACUACACUUUAAUUGCUCUUAUUCCGAAGAUUGCGUCACCAACCCGAGUUACUGAAUAUCGUCUUAUUAGUCUCUGUAAUAUUCUCUACAAAAUUAUUUCCAUGACAAUAGCUAACAGACUCAAGAAGGCUUUGCCCCAUGUGAUUUUGGAAUUCCAGAGUGCCUUCAUUACUGACCUUAUAAUUUUAGACAAUGUGGUAGCAACUUUUGAAACUAUUUAAUGUUGAAAGAGGCGGGGAAAAGCUAGAAGCUGCAAGCUUGUGUUGAAACUGGACAUGGCAAAAGCUUAUGAUCAGGUUGAAUGGCCCUUUCUUGAUCGUAUGAUGCGUACUAUGGAGUUUCCUACUCGUUUUGUCAAUUUGAUUAUGGGCUGUAUUACCAUAGCCUCUUACUCAGUGUUACUCUAGGGGCACCCUUAUGGUAAGAUCAUCCCAUCUAGAGGUUUACGCCAAGGGGAUCCCAUUUCGUCUUAUCUUUUUCUUAUUAUGGCUGAAGGAUUUUCUGCUCUUCUAUAGCAAGCUGAGUCAAAUUCCAAAAUCAGGGGAGUUUCAAUUGCGGCAUCGGCACCUUCUUUAAAUCAUUUGUUUUUUGCAAAUGAUAGUUUACUAUUUUGUCACUACUACAAAAAAGCAAAAAGACGACGGUAAAUCACCGUCGUGUAUUGGGUUUUUCAAUGGUCGUGGAAUCCACCGUCAUCUUUUCCCUCAUAAACCACGACGCUAAAUAACCGUCGUUGUUAAAAUAUACAACGUCAUCAACAAAUACAAAACGACGUCUUUGUACUGCAAAAAGAUCUAAAAAAAGCAAUCGAGGAUGAUAAUAGACGACCAACUCUCUAAAAAAACCGUCGUUAAAAAGGAAAAAUAUGACACAGAACAAGGCCGCAAGAUAGACAUACAACGACGCAAAUACAAAUACGACGACGUUAAAUAUAAUUUUCACGACAAUAAAAAAUAUGACGUCUUUAAAUACAUUAGAAGACGACGUUAUUUAUACCUACUACGUCGCAUAUAUAAAAACAACCGUCGUAAAAUUAAUUUUCCACUUCGAUUUUUCGAUAAAAGAUGACGUGGAAAUAGUUGUCAGUGUCAUUAUUUAUGACGUAUAUGUUAAUAGAGUAGAUGUUGAAAAACUAAACAACGUCGGUAACAAAUAUAUGAGAGUCGUAUUACAAAAUUUAUACGUCCUAUUUUCAGAAACAAACAACGACGAUAAAUAUUAGACGUUGUUAAAUAAAACAACGUCGGAAAAAAAUAAAAACAGACGUGUUUAGUCUGCUAAAGUUCUAGAAAAUAGUCGAGGAUGAGAAUAGACGACCAACUCAAAAAAAUCACCGUCGUUAAAAAGGAAAAAUAUGACACAUAUUAAAAGAACAAGGCCGCAAGAUAUACAUACAACGACGACAACUAAAAUACUACGCCGUUAAAUAUAAUUUACCCGACAAGAAAAAAUAUGACGUCUUUAAAUACAUGAGAAGACGACGUUAUUGAAAUCUACUACGUCUCUUAUUUACAAAAAACCGUCGUGAAAUAAAUUUUCCACUUCGAUUUUUCAAAAAAAGAUGACGUGGAAAUAGUUGUCAGUGUCAUUAUUUACGACGUAUACAUUUAUAUAGUCGACGUUGUAUUUAUAUGUAUUCAUUACUCACGACGCACUUAAUAAUAUAGACGACGUUGAACUUCUAAACAACGUCGGUUCCAAAUAAAUAAGAGCCGUAUUACAGAACAUAUAGACGGCGUAGAUUAUGAUGAGAGCCGUAUUACAAAUAACGUCGUUUAAUUGUUAUUAAACGGCGGUUAUAAUGAACUUCCGUCGGAAUUCAUUUCGUUCCUCUUCGUUUAUAAAAGAACUUACGACGUGGAAAAUGUAUGAUGACGUCGUAUUUUUUAACGUUCAGAUUAUAUAUCUCGUUUUUUAGACGUCGGUAUUAUGGGAUUGGAGUCGUGUUAUUCUGAAUUACAUGGUGGUUCUUAAUCCUUCACCGACGUGAUAUCCUGAAUAAUUGCUUCACAAUAGCGUCGUGGUUCUUCAUUGUUACGUUGCUUUAAGACGUCGGUAAAUAUGCUGAAUAACUGAUUCACAAUAACGUCGUGUUUUAUUUGAACGUAGAAAGUGAAGAAAUCGCAUUACAAUAUAUUACAAAAUUAAUGUCAUACACUGCCAAUUACAUAAGCAUCAUUCAAUCCAUAUAUCUUCACACCCAUCUCGAAUAUUUUGACCGCCUAACUCACCUACCAGUUCAUCAAAUGUGUCAACAUUUGGCAUCCCUCUAGUAAAUGGCUCACACUCAAUUAUCACAUCACCUAAGACUUCAUCACCAAUAACAUCAUUAUAUUCUCUAUUAGGCAUUGAUAACACUACCGACCAACCACGAUGCAUCGGGUCGUCAACAAAAAAUAUUUGUUUGACUUGAGAAGCCAAAACAAAUUGGUCAUUCCUAUGUCCAAUUUUACUCAAAUCUACAAGGGUAAAUCCAAGUUCGUCGACUACAAGACCAGAACUAUCUAUCCAAUCACACCUAAAGACUGGGAUUGUAAACUUUUGGUAGUCAAGGUCCCAAAUUUCUUGAAUGACACCAUAGAAACCCAUAUUUGAGAGAAUUGGGUUUUUAUCCUUGGCACUAGCAACUUGCAUGGUAUGUGCAAGUAAACAAACUCCACUAUUUUGAGUUGUCCGCACAUCAUCUUGUGCCUUGAUAUUGAAUUUAAUACCUUUAAUAAGAUAGCUCCUAUAUAAUGGCACUGACAUGUUUGGACCAGCUGCUAGCCACCUUAAAUUUUCUGAUACGCCAUGAUUGUCUUCCUCAAGUUCACUUUGAACCUGCAAAUUAAUCAUAUCUUAAUUCAAUCUAACAUAUAAAUAAGAAGAAAAUUAAAAGAGAAAUAUGUUAUUCAACAAUAUAUACCUUGAAGCGUAGCCAUUGAAUGAAAGUGCUAUUGUGCUUAUCAUGCAGCCACUUUGUUCUCUUUCUAAAUUUUGGAUAAGCAGUCUUGAUGUGAAUCAUAUGUUGCCUACAUGACACGAAAAAUUCAAGCAUUACGGUCCUAAAUAUAGAAGAUAAACAUAAGAAAUAAGUUAAAAUGGAAACUUAAAGAAUAAAGCUCAUACGUACUCGAUAUAAGGUAGGACUUCCUCCGUAUUCUCCAAGACAUAUAGAUGUGCUUGAUUCAACAGGUCCUGAUCAACUACGCUCACUGUGCAACCUGAUAAUGGCUUUGAAAGUCCCAUCUUUUGGCUUGAAGGCACUCCAACUGUACUAACAUCAGAUAAAUGCUGAGUACAACACUCUACCGCUUCUUCAGCUAUAUACCGCUCAGCAAUGCAACCUUCGGGACGAGUACGAUUCUGAACAUACCCCUUCAGCACUUUCAUAUAUCUUUCAAACGGAUACAUCCACCUAAAAUAUACUGGCCCACAUAGACGAACUUCUCUGACAAGAUGUACUACUAGAUAAACCAUGAUAUCAAAGAAUGAAGGGGGAAAGUACUUCUCAAGCAAACACAGAGUAACUACUACAUCUUCUUCCAACUUAUCUAGCUUGGAAACAUCAACAGUCUUUGCACAUAUAGCAUUGAAGAAGAAGCACAAACGAGUUAUUGCAUACCUUGCAGGCUUCUCCAAAACAGAACGAAUUGCCACAGGGAGCAAUUGUUGCAUUAAGGUAUGACAAUCAUGUGAUUUAAGGCCAAGAAGUCUUGAAUCUUGUAAAGAUACAAGAUUUUUAAUAUUUGAAGAAUAACCUUCAGGGACCUUCAUACCAUAGAAAGAAUUGCAAACCUCUCUCUUCUCUGCUCUUGACAAAUUCCAAGGCCCAGGAGGCAAACGAGUACGUCUUUCUCCAUACUCGAGUUGCAAAUCAGUUUUGACCCCCAUGUUCAAUAAAUCUAAUCGAGCAGCAAUCCCAUCUUUAUUUUUUCCAGGGAUCUCCAGCAAUGUACCAAUAAUACUAUCGCAAACAUUCUUCUCAAUGUGCAUAACAUCUAGGGCAUGCCUCACAGGAAGGUAUUUCCAAUACUCGAGAUCAAAGAAUAUUGAUUUCUUCUUCCAACAAACUCUGUCACCAUUUUCAACCAUAUGCAGCACUUCUUCUCCGGUUAAUGGCUCGGGAGGUAUGCCAUAUUCAGGUUUCCCAUUAAAAGCUGCACGUUGCCUCCUAUAUGGAUGAUUGAUUGGUAACCAUUUUCUAUGCCCAAUGUAACAAAUUUUGUGGCCAUUUUUCAACCUGUGACUAGGUGUAUCAUCGCCGCAUAUUGGACAAGCUUUAUAUCCUUUAACAACACAACCAGAUAAGUUUCCAUAGGCGGGAAAAUCAUUAAUUGUCCACAUUAAUGCAGCUCUGAGUGUAAAGUAUUCUCCAUUAUGUGCAUCAUACACUCCUCUAAUCCCAUCCCACAAAGAUUUUAAAUCAUCAAUCAAAGGCUCCAAGUAGACGUCUAUAUCAUUUCCGGGUUGUUUAGGACCGGAAAUCAAUAAGGUUAACAUCAUGAACUUUCGUUUCAUGCACAGCCAUGGAGGGAGAUUAUAUGUAACUAAGAUAACCGGCCAACAACUAUAUCUGCUACUUAGAGAACUGUGGGGAUUGAAUCCAUCAGAUGAAAGAGCCAAUCUCAAGUUUCUCGGCUCAUUACCAAACUCAGGCCAUUUAUCAUCAAGAAGUUUCCAAGACGGGGAAUCCGCCGGAUGAGACAUCUGACCGUCAAUUGAUUUUCUAGCAGCAUGCCAAGUCAAACUCUUAGCUGUCUCAUGUGAUUGAAACAUCCUUUUAAACCUUGGAAUUGGAGGAAAAUACCACACCACCUUCGCUGGCACACCCUCUUUCAAGAUUGAAUCUUUGCCUUCCUUCCACCUUGAGAUACCACAAGUAGGACAAUUAGUUGAAUUCUCAUACUCCUUCCUAUACAAGAUGCAAUCAUUGGGGCAUGCGUGCAUUUUCUCAUAACUCAGCCCCAAUGCACACAAAGUCUUUUUAGCCUCAUACAUAGAGGUUGGUAUUGUAUUUCCUUCUGGAAGCAAAUCGCCUUGAAGUAUCAAUAAUUCUGUAAAACAGACAUCACUCAUCCCAUGUUUUGCCUUCAAAUUAUACAACUUCACUAAUGCCGAUAACUUCGUGUACUUUCUACAACCAGGGUACACUGGUUGAUCUCCAUCCCCAAUCACAUUGGCAAACUCAUACGGAUCGGAACCAAAAUCAUUAUCAUCCAUAUCAAUUUCUUCAGACACAAAACUGUACCUACUAUGGCCAUCAUCUUCUUCAACAUUUCUACUAGCAUUAGUAGUUGCUUCCCAAGGUUCUCCGUGAAAUGUCCAAUUCUUAUAGCUUUGGUCAAUUCCAUUAAAGUAUAAGUGAUCCCUUAUAAUUCCAACCCCAAACAACUUCAAAUUAACACAUUUAACACAUGGACAACGGAUAUGUGUUGUAGUUAGAAGAUUUUCUACAGCAAAGUUCAAAAAUGCUUCCACCCCAAACUCAUAUGCCUUCGAUCUUCUAUCCGAGUGCAUCCAUGACUUAUCCAUCUCCGACACUAUAACCUAUUAUCUAUAAUAAAGUGAAAAUACAGGCAAUGACCAUCACUACAGCAGAUUAUACAAAGAUCUAAUAGCAAGUAAUAAACAACAGAGACGACGGGUUUUAAACAAAAACAGACGUAUUUGGCAUAUAUAGACGACGGAUUUUCAACAGACGUCGUCUAAUAUAAGUAAUACAAACGACGGUUUAUGAAAACACCGUCGUGUAUAAUUAAUACAACGACGGUUUUUUCAUAAACCGUCGUGUAAUCGUCGUCGUAUGCCUAAAAAGGCGUCGUGUCUCAGUUUAUUUUCAAGAACCCAAAACCCAUUAAGAACACAACAUAUAUAUGAAACCAAGCAAGAAAACAACAUAUACAUGAAACCAAGCAUGAAAACAAUAAAUCCAUUCCCAAUUCAACAUAACAUAGGGUGAUUAAAAGAUCCGACAAAAUUAAAUCCAUUCCCAAUUCAACAUAACAGAUAAUGUAAUCCAUGAACCCAUUAAACAGAAAAUCCAUGAACCCAUACUUAUAAGCACAUUAUUAACAGAUCGCAAAGCAUAUACCUAAAACCCUUUAACAAAACAACCUAAUAUCAUUCAAUGAAUUUACAAGGGGAAGAUAGGGUUUGUACUUACAGGUUGGACGAGCUCACAGAUUCGACGGAGCAGAAGUGACAGAGCAACUUUUAAUUAGAGCAACUUUUAAUUAGAGCAGAAGUGAGAGAGCGAAAUGUUAUGUUGCACGAAAUCUGAAAAUUUUAGGGUUCAGGGUUAGAAGAAUAAGAAUAAGAGCGAAAUAUAAAAAAAAUUUAGGACGCGCGAAAAUUUUUAGAGCUCGCGCUCUUUAAAACGUCGAAAGAAAAACCAUGGCGAAAGUUCUACAAGAACCGACGUAAAUGUAAUAUUCCACGACGGAAACACUGAACGUAACGCCGUUUAUUUUGACGCUUCAUUUUUCGGAUUAAUUUUAAAUUUAUUUUCAAUAUUUUGAUAUAAAGACGACUGAAAAACCACGUCGGGGUUAAGAAAUUGAAAACGUUGUAAAUAAUAAUACACGACUUACAUAUUAAAAUGACGUCGUUUAACGCAGAAACCAUGUCGGAUAAUUUACUAGACGACGUAACAUAUGUAUUCCACGACUCAACCACCGUCAUUAACAAUUAAUACCCUAAACCCUUAAAACUAAAUUAUAUAAUUUUAAAAAUUAAGUUUAUAAAAGGGUUUAUGGUUUUACAGCCUAAUAUAUACCCUAGACUACCCAAAAAUUAUACUUUAAAAAUAAACCCCAAUAAAUAACAACCCUAAUCUCUAAACCCUAGACUCUAAACCCUAAACCAUAAAACUAGAAGUGAUUUUAUGACUCAUCAAAACAAUUUUGUUUUGGAUGUUCAUUUUAAAUUUUUGUUAUUCAAAAUGAAUUUUUUCAAGCUUUAGGGGGAAGAAAAUAUAUCAAUGACUUCAUAGGAGUUGACUUUGCAUUUUUCUGAUUUAUUUUAAAUUUAUUUUGAAUAUUUUGAUAUAAAAAUAAUAAAAUAUUCUUAUCACAACAACAAACCACGUCGGUGUUAAUAAAUUGUAGACGUUGUAAAUUGUAAGAGACGACUAAGUUGUUAAAAUGACGUCGUUUAAAUGAGAAACGAUGGCGGAUAUUUAACUAUCCGACGUAAAAUAUAUAUUCCUCGACUUAACCGCUGUCGUUACAAAGUACUACCCUGAACCCUUAAGAAAUUGAAGACGUUGUAAACCAUAAAGGACUCCAUUGUUCAAAGAACGUCGUCUAAAUAUCCUUUUACGUCGGAUUUGUUUAAAACGAAACCACAAAAAACGACGGCUUUUGACUUUAUUUCGUCGUUGGAAAAUUAUUACACGUCGGUAACGCAUUUUGUAUGUUUGUUUUUGUUUUUACUUUAAGAAAACCUCAACAAAUUUUUACAUUAUAUAUUAUAGACAAAAUUUGUACAUUAUACAUAAAUAUCAAGUGUUCAAUAAUUCCCCUAUUUAAAUUGAAGGCAAACAAACUCUGCCCAUUCAUUCCGGACUUCAUCAAUUGCUUCUUGGGGGUAUGGCUCUUCCUGUUUUCCCUUCGCAUACUGCAUAAAAACAAUGACUAUUAGGGUUUAUAAAUAAAAGGAAAUUCAAUCACAGACGACCAUAACCGACGUAGUAUAUCUAUUCAACGACGGUAAUUUUACAUGACCGUCGUUGAUAAUACAAAAAACGACGUAAAAUGUUUGAAGGUUAUUUCUUCUUACCUUCUUCUCAAACCCCAAGGAAGGAUCCAUGAUGAUGUCCUUCAUGAAGCGCAUCACGUAAUACCCGCAUUCGACAUUGCUGGGUUGCUUUGGUGUGCCUGACAGAGUUUUCCAAAUGACGGCCUUACGGCCUGAUCUGGCUAUGUGGGAAUUAUAAAUUUUUAUGGCACUGUUCACGAUGUUUUUGGCCUCUUCAUCGACCACACGAUAUCCUGGCAGAGGAUCCAGAAAAUAGACUGUUUCCCUCUUUGCUCUUACAAUCAGCAAGAUUCAAUGACGGCUGCACAAAAUUAAUAUAAAAACGACGGUUAUUUACAAAAACGACGUAUUAUAAUAUUUCACACGACGAAAUAAAGUAGCAAUCGACGACAUUAUAUAUUUAUCACGACGAUAAAUAACUACCGACGUGGUUAGUCGUUUCAAACGACUCAAUAAAAUAAAACACCGACGUGGUUAGUUUAUACGCUGUCAUUUAUUGAAAAUCAUAAAAAUAAAAUCCUGUUAAGGAGACUAACCCUGGAUUGUAAGGCAUCAGGAAAAUCUGUUCACCGUCAUCUUCUGAAGUCGUGAUGCUACCAUUCGUGAUCUGUCAGCUAUUGUGCCAGAGCUGGCACUAACUGUAGCAGGGUCGAUAAAGCCAACCAUUGUGCACAUAUUUGCUUGUUUUAAAACAUCGUGUAAGUACCUAAAUAUAUAAAAUAAUAUAAACAAGUCAGCGCAAAAAAAACACACGACGGUUAUGUAUAACAAAACGACGUAUUAUAAGGUUUCACACGACGUACUGAAAUAGACAACGACGUUAUAAUAAAUUUAUCACGAUAGUACAUACUAACGACGUGGUUAGAUAGUUAAGAUGACGCAAUAAAUAAACCAACGACGUAUUAUUUUAGAAUGACAAACCUCAUAUAUACAGCAAUGACUGUAGCUCCUAUUUCCUCCAUGCCUGCAAAUUGUGUAAUAUCUUCAGGCAGGAGGAAAGUAUCGCGCUCUAGACCAAAGACCUCCUUAUCAAUUGUAAAGUGCAGGGUCUUAUCCUGAGGCACGAGUGUCGUUUCCACAUAACGACAAAGGGUUUGUAAAGAAGAUGGCGCCUCCAUAUUUGAAUAAUCAACAACUUUAGUAACCUGUUUAAAGAAAUAAAAAAAAUGACGUGGUAAUUCAAUAAAAACGACGGUUUAAGGAAUAAAACGUCGUCUGAAAACAAUUUAAACGACGGUGAAACAACCGUCGUGGUGAAUUAUUUAUUACGUCUUAGAAAACAAUUCCGCCGUCUAAGUUGUAAACAAACGACGGUUUAAAGAAAAAUAUCGACGUCUGGAAUUUUGAAAAACAAAUAAAAAAGGCAAAGUUAUGUGAACAUACCUGGUCGUCAUCUUCUUUCUGCUUUUCAUCUUGUUUUUCUUCUUUAUUCUCUUCAUCUAUGACGUCGGGAAUGAUUAACUCCGUCGUCUAAAAACCACAAAGUUUUAAAAAUAACGACGUUUAAUGGCGUGUAAAACAAGUAAACUAAAUACGACGUGGUAUUGAAAUACAAACGACGGUUUAUUUUUAAAAUCGUCGUGGUAUGUAUUUCAAACGACGGUUUUAUUAAUAAUAACGACGUCUAAUGGUUUUUAAAAAAACAGACAAUUCAAAGUUCAGAUAUGUUACCUUUUCUUCCUGAUGUUUCCCAUUUUUGGCAGUAUCAUCCUCAAAAUGCUGGGAUCUCACAUCACCUCCAGAGCAGCUUGCUUUGUCAGACAUUGGAUUUUUGGGACUUUGGCUAAUUCUGGGUUUAAGCAUGCUUGGAUCAAAAUUGGAAAUUAAUUGGGAAAGCUGACUCAGGAAAUGCUCCCUCUCAGCCUCUACCAAUUGUUUCGUUCUAGCCUCCAUCCUUAAAGCCUCUUCCCUUGCCUUAGCCUCCAUCUUUCUAGUCUCUUCUUGAAGGAGAACUCUUAAACUGUCCUUCAAACGGUCGUCAAAGCUCACUCUCUGUGAUUUGAGUAAAUUGAAAUAUUGCUUUGGUGAGAUCCCAGCACCUACUCCUCUGACUCUGCCUGGAUGCUCGGGGCCCAAAGCCAUGGUCAGCACAUCAUUGCUGCCAGAUACGGUGACUUUGCCUUCCGAGACUUGUUUUUGCAAAUCAUCCUGAAACAAAGAUAUAUAAAAAAGUAAGAACAAAAACACACGACGGUUAUUUAUAUACAAACGACGUAUUAUAUAAUUUCACACGACGCAAUAACAUAUAAAUCGACGUUAUUAUAAUUUAUCACGACGGUAGUUAUACCGACGUGGUUAGAUUUUUAAAACGACGAAAUUAAUAAACCACCGACGUCUUAUGUAACAGAGGGAUGAUUCAAUACUCACACCUUUAACGGCGUUGUUUAAAACAUUUCGACGUAGUAAUUUAAUACAGACGACGCGAAAUUGAACCACCGACAUCUUAUGCUAUAAUUAUAGAAAACAGAGUUGUGAUUCCUAUUUAGACCUUUAACGACGUGUUUUAAAAAAUGUCGACGUGGUAACAUCAUUCACACGACGCAAAAUAUAACAUAAGACGUAAUAAGAAUUAUUCACAGUUUAAUAAAAAUUUAAAACAGAGUGAGUAGGCUUACAAUUAAUUUUGCUUUCUCUGCCACCUUUGGAUCAGGGAUGUUACUAUGUUUGUCCUGUCUAGCUCUCUUCCAUAAGGUAGAUCGAUCAAUUUCUACCCCAGGCAUGGUUUCCUCUAAUUGAUCCUCCAAACCAGCAUAUCCUUUUCGAGACAAUCGAUGAUUGUACUCGAGUUUCUCCCUAAUCUGUGCAUGUUGAGAAUGCACAGACUCAAAAUCUUUGGAUAGCCUUGAAGCUACAAAGGCAUCCCAUUAUGCUCUCUCUAUGAAUUUAUAUGUUUCAGGGGGUUGGCUUAAUCUCUCCCUGUCAUUGGUGUAUGGAAGGAUAUAAUGCCUCGUUAGUGUAGACUUGAAAUCCUUCCAUUUCUUGGCAGCAGAAGCUAAGACAGAGUUCUUGCCCCCUUGACCUACUACAAAAGCAAUGUCAACUACUUCCCAAAUCUGCUCCUUUAUAUCCUUGGGGAUUUGAGCCCAUUUCAAGUCCACAAGUGGGACUCUGGAGCGUGCCAACACACCAAUAUAGGACUGCAUCUCACUGUGUGCUUGGCCAAUUCCUUUCCCCCUUUUAUUGUACUCAACAAUUGGCCUCAGUUUCUGAAGUUUUCUCUUCACAACACGAGGCAUUGUGCUCAUACCUCGACCAGCCUUUGAAUCAUCAGAGAUUGUUGUCGCGCUGGUUGGUUCUGUAUCAGCAGAUGAUGAAGCAAACUUCAUCUUCUUCGAAGACUUCAUUAUCUUCGAAGACUUCUCUUGAGGAGGUACUUGCUCCUUACCUUCAUUUUUGUUGGAGCCAGAAUCCUUACUUUGGUCUUGGUGAGAAACCAUUUUUACAGACAAAACUGCAAGUGAAAAUAUUUCAAGAAAAGAUUAAGAACACAAACGACGGUUAUUAAUAAAAGACGACGUAUGAUAUGAUUUUAAACGACGCAAUGAAAUAAUAUCAGACGUAAUAAAUGUUUAAAACCAAGGUAAUUAAACAACGACGAAAUAAUUAACUACAAACGACGUAAUAAUUAACUAUAAACGACGGAAUAUUUAUAUAACGUCGUGGUAUUGAUGUUCACACGACGUCAGUAGUAAUAUACCGUCGUCUAUAUAAGGAUCCAAAACCCUUCUUUCUUUCUCUGUGAAUGUUUGAUUGCAGAUUUGAUUUUUCUGAACCAUGGUUUUUGUUUUCUAAUUUGAUAAAAUACAAGGCCAAGAAAGAAAGUUUUGGAAUCUUAUAUAGACGACGGUAUUUUAAUAUAACGUCGUGGUAUUAACAUUUACACGACGUAAAACAAUAAGAUACUGUCGUCUAUAUUAGAUACCAACCCUAAUUUCUUUUUCUUUAUAUUUUAUCAAAUUAGGGAAAAACAAAAACCAUUGUUCAGAGAAAUCAAACCUGCAAUUAAACAAGCAAAUAAAAAAAAGACUAUAAUUUUAAAAACAACUUUGUCAAUUUUCAGACGACGCUAGAACGACUGACGAACCGUCGUGGUCUACAUAUUUAACCACGUAAAUAAGAAGCUACCGUCGUCUUAUUUAGUUGAGGUAGUUGUCUUCAAAGUUGGAAACUUUCCCUCUUUGUCUGUAUCUUUUUUCGAACUUGGAAAGAAGUAAAAUGAUUUUGGCCAGAAAAAAGGUAAAAAGAUUUUUCAAACAAAAAACGUAUGAGCAUGCAAAACAGCAACCAAAAUAGUGAAAAUGAAAGCUUACCUUUUGCGUGCAAUGAAAGCAAGAGGAAGACGAUCGAUGUUUAAGUUCAGAGACGACGAAGAAGACGAGAGGAAGACGAUGAGAUACUCUGAAAGUGCUCUGACAAGGAAAAAAGUCUAAAAGUUUUCUCUGGGAGAUUGAAAUUUUUAAUCGGGUUUGGAAACAGUGCAUGUGUAAGACAGGUACACGAAAAGUUGCUUACAUAUAAAACCAUUUCAAAAAAUAAUACGGCGGUUACAUAUAACUACGACGUAUAAAUUACAAAAUACGACAGUACGUUUAACUUCGGACGUGGUAAAUAAGUACGACAGUAGUGUUGUAGGUACCGUCGUAGUAAACUCAAAAAUUAAAGUACAUAAGUAAUAACUCGCGUCAUGGUAGAUCAUUUAACACGUCGGUUUUAUUAAUGUACCGACGUGGAUUUAUGUAAUAUACGUCGGUCAUAACGACGUUGAUUUUAAAAUUUAAACGGCGGUUUUUUUGUAAGGACCGCCGUUGGUUUUAAAAAUUUAUUCUAUAAAUUUGUCGCUUUCAUUCAUUUUCGGUUUACAUUUAGGGUUCCAAGUUCUUCCUCUCUCAGAGACACUGUCUCUCACAUCUCAAAGACAGUAAUUUGGAUGUCUUUCUCAAAGAGAAAUUGAGCUUACUCGCAUCAAAUCUAUGUGCACAAGAAGAAGCUUGUCAACUAGCCUUCUCACUUCCUUGAUCAAGUCUGAUAGGACAUUUAGUGCUUCUGAAUACUCCUUGCUUUCCAUCAAAAGAGAUGCAAGCCUGGCCUCCACUCGCUGUCGAAGGAAAGUUCGCUUCUCAGGGAAAUCUGAAGAUCAGAUGUGCCUGAUCCUCUGCUUGAUUUUCUUGGCUAAGAAGAUCCGUCAGAUUUGUGAUAGCCUCUUCCUUUAUCCGUAGAGCUUCAGAAGAAGAAGAUGGGUUUCAAGAAUGCGAUAAAGAAUAGAAAUGGCUUCAUGAAUGCGAUAAAGCAUGAGCAAUCGAAUCAGUGCUUUGAACUAUACUCUGAACUAUACAAGUCAAUACUUUGAACUAUACAAGUCCUGCAGAAAGAUAAAGGACCAAACUGUUAAAGAAACUGAAACUAUUAAAGAAACCAUAAACUAACACGACGCAAUAUUUGUUUUGCGACGUGGAAUCUUUUCAUUUAACGUCGUUAGGUUUAAUACAACCGACGUGGAUUUGAAUUGUUAAAUUAUGAAUAGAAAUUUUUUUCCCGUGACCUUUCAGUUUAUUUUUCAAUUACAGUGCGUUAUAAAUAGAGUUUUUUUUCCGGAGGAAAUUUAAAAUGAAGGAAAUUAAUGUUCUGGAUUAUGUUAAGUUUCUUUUUUGGAUGACAGAUUUCAAUUCUUGUCAUUAAGUAGAUCUACCGACGUAGGAUAAGAAAAUAAAGGAAAAAAUUGUUAACAAAAAUUCUUAUUAAGACGACGGUUUAAAUUAAAGGUACGACGUAUAAAAUUAAUAAAUACAACGUUAAAUUUUAUAGUACGAUUUAAAGAUAACGUCGUAGAACUAUACGAGAAUAACGUCGAUAUAUUUAUAUUUUUCGUCGUUGUAAAUUAAUUUAAUACGGCGACAUUUUGUAUUUUAAAGCCGUCGAUUUGUUUGUAAUUAUACGGCGUCUUAUACGAAAAUUUCGUCGUGUUAUUUUAUGAGUAAAAACGGCGGCUUUUAUUGAAAUCAUCGUCUUUACUUUCUACGUCGGUCGAUUCAUAACUUAUGCCGUUCUUUGUUGGCUUUGAUUUUACACUGCGGAAAUCUGUUUCAAAUAGACGUCGGUUUUUUAAUUAGGUACGUCGUUGUUUUUGAACAGCCAUUUGAAUCUCCAUUUUUAGUUGUCUAAGGUGGUAUUACACGACGGUGUUUUUAGAACCGUCGUCUUUUUAAAAACCACGACGGUUUUCACUUAGACCGUCGUUGUUUUCUGGUCGUCUUUUUCACUUUUUGUAGUAGUGUGUGAUGCUGAACCCCGUCAAGUUACUGAGCUCAAGCGGAUAUUUCGUAUCUAUGAGGAGGCUUCUGGUCAACAGGUUAAUUUGGAUAAAUCAGCCCUAUGUUUUAGUCCGUCUACACUGCUGGCUACACAAGCCCAAAUUCAAGCCAUGUUGGGUGUUCCUAUUGUCCCCUGCCAUGAAAAAUAUUUGGGACUUCCUACAGUUGCUGGAAAAAAAUAAAAAACUGUUGUUUCGUACUCUUAAAGAUCGCAUGUGGAAAAAGAUCACUAGCUCAGAAGGUCGAUUACUCUCGAAAGCUGGGAAGGAAGUUUUGAUUAAGGCAGUUUUCCAAGCUAUGCCUACUUACUCAAUGAGCGUCUUCAGGCUCCCCGUUGCGAUCUGCAAUGAGGUUGAAAGUAUUAUUGCUCGGUUUUGGUGGUCUAAGGGUGCUGCGCGGGGAUUCAUUGGAAAAACUGGAAAGCACUAUGCCAACAUAAGUCGGAAGAAGGGUUGGGUUUUCGGGAGUUAGUCAAUUUUAACAAAUUUCUAUUAGCAAAACAAGGUUGGUGUUUGCUCCAAUCUCCUAAUUCUCUGGUAGCUUGGAUGCUGAAAGCUAGGUAUUUCCCUAUUACUGAUUUCUUAAGUGCACAGGAAGGUUCGUCUCCUUCCUAUACUUGGCAGUCUAUUCUAUGGGGUCAAGAGCUCUUAUUAUGUGGUUUGCGAUGGUGGAUUGGUGACGGUCGGCUGGUACAAAUUUAUGGUGAUGCCUGGAUUCCCCACUGCCAUAUAUUCAUGGCUCAAACUGCAUCACGUGUCCCUAUGGAUACUAAGGUUAGCACCCUGAUUUUGAUAAGUGGGUGGUGGGAUGUUCCCAAGGUUUAUAGUUUAUUUACCUUCAUGGAAGCAGAGACUAUCUUGUCUAUACCUUUGGUCUGUGAUAACGUCGAUCGUAGAAUUUGGCACUUUACUACACAUGGGCGAUAUACUGUGAAGAGUGGAUACUGGACUGCCUUAGAAUAUCAGAAUUUUACUCUCAGUCACACUAGCACUGGUACUGGUUUUUCUCCGUCACAAAAAUUAUGGAAGCAUCUUUGGAAAAUGAAAGUGCCUGCGAAAAUACAACACUUUCUUUGGCAUUUUGCUCAAAAUGGCAUCCCGACAAAAGCUGUCCUUUUUCACAGUAAAAUCGCCAUGGAUGCGACUUGUUUUCGUUGCACCACUGGCUGAGAGACAUCAGUUCAUGCCUACGAGAUUGCCCAAUUAUUCGUCCCGUGUGGGAGUCUUCGGAACUGCCGACAGUUUUUCUUGGUUUGACUCUGGACGACGCUUCUACGUGGCUGUUGGCUGCAUGGCAUUUAAUCCCAAUUGCUCAGCAACCUUUUUUUGUUAUUGUGCUAUGGCUAUCGUGGAAUGAUCGGAAUCCUAUCCUUUUGGGUUCUGAUCCUAUGUCUGCGGAGCAUCUCCUUUUUUGUAUAAAGAACUAUGUUGCGGAAUAUUAUCAAUCUCAGUUACUACUUCAUAGGUGUAUUUCUUUGCCCAUUUCGGACCAACAUUGGAGUCCUCCUCAGGUUGGUUUUUUUAAGCUCAAUGUCGAUGGUGCUUUGGAUUUGCGGGAUGGUCUUCAAGGGGUAGGUCUGAUUGUUCGGGACUCACACGACGUUCUUAUAGGGGCGGUGGCAAUGAGGGCACCUAGUCACUUGUUUGUGUUGGCUAUCGAGAUUUAUGCUUUCAAAGUGGGUCUCUCUUUUGCUUUAGAUGCAUCACUUCUGCCCUUGUAGUUGAAUCUAACUCCCUGGCUGCAGUGCAGUUGCUAUCAAAGGAGGAAGAAUGUUUAGCUCCUAAGGGAGUGCUUGUGACUGAAAUUCGGCGUCUUCUUCCGGCGUUAUCCUCUUGUGUUCGUUUUAUCCCCCGUUCUGCCAACAUUGUGGCUCAUCGUAUUGCAGAUUAUAGUCUUCGAGUGGAGGAGCUUUUUUAUUGGUUGGGUGAUGGACCUCUCUGGCUUCUAAAUGGCGUUAGGGAGGAUUGGUCUCGUUUUGUCUGACUUUGUAAUAGGGGUGUUGACUCUUUUAUUUAGUCAUUAGCAUGGGUGGUGCUCUUUCCUAAUCCGAGGUUUUAUCCCUUGUAGUUUUCCCCAGGAAGGUUUUAACGAGACCACCAUUAACAUGCUUGUUCUUACCAUGUAAUGUUCUCUUUGGGUUGAAUACAAUACCAUUUUCUCUCAACAAAAAAAAAAACUUUUUUCCAUAAUUUAAAAAAUGGUCACACAUUAAAAGAAAGUGAAAACAAUAUAUGAUUUUAAUUUUCAAACUACAUAUUUUUAUAAAGUAACUGUUUUUAUUGUCCCAAAUCCAAUUAUCAUAAGGUUGCCUUGUACACCGUAUUUGCUAUUUUAUUCUCACUUGGCUUCCAAAUCAGUCCGUCCAUAAACCUACGAACCUUUAAAAUAAAAGUCAUUUUUGAUGUUAUAUUCGGCUAACGAAGUCAAAAAAAUUGAAGCAGAGGGAUCUUCAAGAACUAUUUAUUUGAAGAGAGAAUUUAACAUCAAUCCUUGAUAACUCUAAAAAAUACAUUUGAUUGGUGUACAAAUGAAAUCCAGUACAUGAAUUAUAUAAUACACUUCAACACUUGGAAUUGAUAUGGAACUGUUUCUCAAGAAUUGAUGAGGUUGGAGAUGUGAAAUCGCAACUUGCUAUUCCAUACUUCAAUAACUCACUCUGUAUGUACAUCCUCAUAAAAUUCUUCAGAACAGAACUCAACCUUCAGAACAGAACUCAGCUGAAAGGAGGGAAACAAUAUUAAACUAGAAAAAUAAUACUCAUCAGCUUGUACUAAAAUCGAAUAAACAAAAUAAGUUACACCGCAUUGAAAGUGUUCAUCCAAUGCACUAAAUGUGAGAAUCGUCAACUUGGGACUUAAAACGAGCCUCGGAGUGUUUUGAUAAUGAUGCAGAAAGCUACAACAUUCAGAAAACUGUAGAACUUCAUAUUUUGAGAUACUUAGAUCAGAAACUAGCUAGGGAAAAUUGAAUUAUGCUAUCAUCAGUUAGUCCCACAAAUCCUUAAAGAAUGUGACCAUGCUGACCAGUAUUCCUAUCAGUAUAAUUUAACCAAACAAAAACAUGAUCAUAUCACUAAAAACAGAAAAGUUCCUUCAAUUCCUAUAUAUCAUCAUAUGGAGAUGCAAAAUACAUUAAACUAAUCUAUCAGAAACCCAGUUAACGUAAAUCCUAGCCAUCUAGAAAUCCCAUCUUAAUGAUUUCCUUUGUGCGAUUUGGCUUGCACGAAGAAGUAUUUUGUUCAACAAGAGAGAGGGGUUGAAGAGAACGAUGUACAAAUAUAAGUGUACAUUUCUCUUUCAUAUUUUAGAACACCCAGGGGUCUCCUUAUUCUAGGAUCAAGACAGGAGCAUAUUUGGAGUUGGGUUCCUGACAUUCACUCUAAAUUUUAACUUAGAAUCUCAUCUAGGGAGGAGCCCAUUGGAGAUGUUCUAAUGAAAUACCACACCAAAAUUAGGUUGUUUGUUUUGUUUACGUCUACUAUAUCGCAAUUAUAGAACACUUGAAUUAAAAAAACAUCAAACACACAUGAAAUACAUUGUAAUUUAUUGUCAAAUCAAAGCUUAAACAUUCUCACACAUAAUUUUUUUUUGUUUAUAUCAUUAAAAUUGUAAUUUGAUCUUGCUAACUCAAUUUAAUUCUUACGUUAAUAUGGCAUAAUAUGGCAUAUUUUUUUAUAGUAAGAUAUGCAAACAUCAGUGUUCCCUUAAUAUAGAAGUUGGAGAUGGAAACAUAUAUAUACUCACCUCUGCACUUCUCUGUGUUUCCCUGUAUUCAAAAGAAAAGAAUGUGUAUUAUUGAGAUGCAAUCAGGUUUGAAAAAGGAACACUUUUAUUGUUAUAUUAUUGAUUAAACACCAGUAAACAUUCAAGAGCAUACCUUUUUUCGUGAAUGUUCCCUAUAGUGCUAUUGAGGUCCCCCAUCCACUCAGACUUUCCGAACUCUGUCUGUACUUUGAUUACAGAAUGUGCGUUGACAACCUUAGAAGCAAAUGUCCUUAAAUCUGGACAUCUUAUAACCUUCAAUUCCCUCAAACAUGGCAACUUCAAAGUAUAAGCUUCAAUAGAGAAACAAAUGAGGUUUGGUAGAUCUUCAAGCGUUAUGGAAUUCAGUUGACGAAAUGUAAUUUCCUGGUCAACACAUUCAGUAUCUGCUUCUGCAAUAACUUGUUCAAUCUUCUCACAAUUCCCAACUUUUAAGUCCUUUAAACUGAUAAGGAGCUUGGCUACAGUUGACAAGAACAAAUAUCGUAAACUGCCACAGUGGGAUACACUUAAGAAUGUUAAGUUUCCAAAGCCUGUGAUAUGAGGUGAACCGCCCGCUUCCCAUACGUGCAUUAAACUUGGCAAUUUGUUUAACAACAAGUAACACAACUUAUUGAAUGCUUGAACAUUGUGGCUUUCCACAGCCUUUGGUCCCUUGAGUUGGAAAACAACUUCCAAUGACUUACAAGAUUGUACAGAAAGACGUUCUAGAUUAUCGUAAUCGUUUGAGUCUUGAUCAAGAUUUGUUGGUGCAACCUAGAAAAUCAAACAUCAAUUGAGUAAACCGUAUAUAAUUUAUAUAAUUUCAAUAUGGCAAUGUCAAUUGUCAUUCUCAAUUCUAGCUCUAGGGUAGAGGUUCAUAGAAAUAAAUUGAAAUGCUUACCUCUUGAUUGACUGGACGUGGCAAUAUUUGAACAAUAUUUCUUCUUGAAGUUGGUUUGGUCAUUGGGCCACAUGAAUAAGGUGUACAUCCACAUGAUCCUGAUGAAAUACCUUCGUCUUCAUCUUUGCGAUGAGCUGUUGAAUCUUUCUGCAACUUUUUUAUUUGUGGAAUUACUGAAGCCAAUUUCUUCAGUUUGUCGCAUCUUUUCACAGACAUAACUUUGGUGGCUGACCAUAAAGAAGUAGAAGCAUCAGGACAAAGACUCUCAAGAGUCGGAAGCCAGUCUGAUCCUCUUUUUCAUUUUCAUCUGCAGAUCUGACUAUAGUUUCCAUUUCCCAGCAUUGCGCUAUGUUGAGCUCUUCAAGAUUCUCAAGUAGCCUGGCAAUUGAAUGUGGGAACACAUAUUGGAGAUCACGACCAUCUUUUAUUUUUAAAUAUCUUAAGUUUUGGAAGCCCUGGAAUCCACGCGGAAUGUUCUUCCAAAAGUGUGGAAUUGUCGUAAGUGAAAUCUUCAAUUUUCGUAAAUGAGAAAAUGCUGGAACUGCCUGCCCAUCCCUAACCAUAUGGCCUUUCAAAUCAAAUAACACAUCUACAAUGCCAUCGUCAAAUUUUAGUUUCACUUCUUCCAGAUUUUGUAACCAUAAAAUGCACUUUGACGGAAAUACCACUCUUUCAAAGCUUCUAGAAGAUUGAUGCUCAUCAUUUGAAGUUCUUACCACAUUUUCAUCCUUAGGCAUUUUUACCUGAAAAAAUUCAUUAAUUAUAAAUAUUCAAAGAAACAUUUUAUAGAUCAACUUCAGACAAUUUCUUUUAAAAAAUGAAAUUAUUAGUUUUUAGGAAAGAAAACAGUCAAACUAAAUUCAGACCCAAAAAAAAAAUAUAUAUUUGAGGCACAAACAAUUAACAAAACAAUUAUACAAUUCAAGCAUGGAAAUAAUAAGUUAUAUAUGUAACAUACCUCAUGAUUGGCUUCGUAGAAACCAACGAAUUCAUCAGAUAGAUAUAGGAGUGUCAAAUUUGUUAAUUUAGGAAAAGCUAUGAUGUCCGACGCCGUCUCAUGUUCCCUCCCCUCCUUUGAGACGAUUUCUUUCAUAUGGGGACAAUUGGCAACAAUUAAGCUUUGGAGUUGAACCAAGUUGCUUGCUACUGAUAGAGAGAAGACAUAUUUUAAAACUGGGCAAUUAUGUAAUUCAAGAGAUCUUAAGUUGAUAAAAGAGCUCUGUGGAAGUUGGUCGUGGCACAUUGCUUUUAGCUUUGGCAUCUGCAUGAGUUGGAUUGAUUGAAUGAGAGGGAAGGCUGUUUGUUGAGUCCAACUUGCUCCAUUUACAAGGUAUUCUAUCUCAGGGCACUUCCAAAUUCUUAAAACUUUUAAGCGUUGCAAUCCCUCUUGGUCUAAUUCAUUGAGAACAUACUUUAAAUUCUUAAUCUUUUCCAAGUUUAAAUCUUCACAUUUCUUAAAUAAGAGUCGAACAAUUUGAAUCUCCAUGAAUUCUGUUGCAUCACUUUUAACAAUAUCCAAUUUAUUUUCGAAUGCAUAACAACCAGUACUUGUUGAUGAAUCUCCAUGAACCCCUUUGAUGGAUAUGUCGAAUCUUAUUGUUCUCUGGAUUGUCAAGUAAAAGUCUUUUGGAAAGAAGCUGAAAUCGGGUAUAUCUAUGACUAAAACCUUCAAAUGAUUAGACAAAGACAUCACCUCAACAAGGCUUGCCGUCCUCUUAUCUUCGCUUUUUGCUGCUGAUUGUUCCCAUUUGCGAAAACUAUUUUACAUAUACAACUCUUCAAGACUAGAUAAGCUCGAUAAGAGACCAUGUGGAAUCUUCUGAAGACGAUUACAAUCCGUGAUAUCUAACAACCAUAAAUGUUUAAGAAGUCCAAUUUCCUUCGGCAACUCUAAGAUGUUAACGCAUUCACGAAAGCUGAGGAUCUCUAAAUUUUCCAAACUUCCAAUAACAUCAGAUAUAUCUGUUAAAAGACAACCAUUUAGGGACAAGGUUCGAAGGCUCUUCAGUAGUCCUAGUGAACUUGGCAAGGUUGAUAUCCCACCCACAUCUACCAAUGCUAAAACCUUCAGCUCUUUCAUCCCUUUACACAUGAUGUCCAUGCUAUUUUUAGAAUAACAGUCGCCUUCUAAGUGUAGAAGCUCAAGUUUUGGACACUCCAGACCAACUGGGAUCUCAUCAAUAUUAAUUGGUAUCAGUGAGAUUGUUGUGUAAUGGUCGUAUAUCUUUGGCCACCCUUUCUUUUCAGCAUCACAUCUUAUUAGAAAUCUAUGUGGAUCUCUUGAGGCAAUUGAUAUGGCAACAUCACGAACUAUGUCAUGCAUCUUGGUAUGGUCUUUCAAUUUGCUAUCUAGCAACAAAAACCUUCUUUGAAGUUUGUCAACCAAAGAAUGCACUCUAUUUCUUGCUUCUUCCACUGAAUCAGUGUUACUAAAAUACCCUCGACCCCAUCCAUAUCUAACCAAAUACUCAAUUGGAAUAUCAUAAUCUUCAGGAAAUAAACAACAAAGCAAGAGGCAUGACUUCGCUUCAUCACUCUCCAAUCUAUCAUAACUCCAUUGUAUGCUUGAAUAAACUCUGUCAUUCAUCAAAGAGAUGCUUCCAAGAGCUGAACUUUGUAGCUGUUUUAGGGCAUCAUCCCAUUCAUACUUCCUCUUAUUUUCUAGUGCUUUUGCAACAGUUAAAAUAGCAAUAGGUAAACCUGCACACUCAUUCGUGACUCGUUUCGCCAAAUCAGGAUAGUCCAAGGGUUGACCUAUGAUUUCACGAAAGAGUUCCCAUGAUUCCUCUGGUGUUAAAACUGGGAUUGUAAAAAUUUCUUGACUUCCCAUUGCGUUGCACACUUCCAAGUUUCGUGAGGUCAACAAAACCUUGCACCCUUUAUGAGUAAGUCCAGAAGGAAGUCCUAUAGCCUCAAAAUCAAGCUCUGUCCACACAUCAUCUAAUACAAUCAGGAUCCUACUUAUUUCCAUGAGUCUUCUAUAGAGCCUUCGCGCUCUUCCACUUUCGGUAUCCUCCUUGUCAUAUGUAAACCCCAGCUCUUCUGCAAUUUCUGAUUGAAUCUUCCGAAUGCUUGGGCUUUGAGACACAACUGCUAUCACAACAUUAUCGAAUACUUUCAAUCCUGCCAAUCUUUUGAUGAUUUCUUUCACCAUUGUGGUUUUACCCACACCCCCCAUACCACAAAUCCCAAUCAUUCUAACUUCUUCAUUCUUCAAAACCUCUAUCACGCUAUUCACACAUGUCAUUCUGGAUUUAAAAUCCUUAAAACCUUCUUUGAAUGUUGACCAUAUCAUCGGUGGAGGUGCAGGAUGGGCAACAUUAUUAUUGAAUGUUCUUUCUUUUUGGAGAUGACGAACAUCUUGUGUAAUCUUAGUGGCUUUCCUACUUAUGUUCCACCGGUACAAGAAUCGCCUUUUCAUGUUGACUUCUUCCUCAAAAUGCAACACUUUCUGAAUUAACUUGUUAACACUUGUUAGCCAACUUUGAACAUCAGAGUUGAUAACUUCACCAUUCCUUUUGGCAGCAUUGACCAAUUCUUGCAGCCCAUCUUUCAUCUCAAAAAGCUGUUUAAGUUCAUCCUUUAGAUCUUUCAUGUUGGUAUCAUAGUAAAUCAAAUAGCCAAAUUCUCUGCCUAUUGGUGUCACCAAGGACUCUGUAAUUUUGGACGCAAUUGAAAUAACAAUAUCCAUUUCCUUGUGAGAUCAAAGACACAUAGAUGAAAUGCUUAUCUCUGUAUCUUGUCUCCCAAUCUGUACAAAGUCCAAUGAAAAAUAGAUCAAUAUAAAAAUAGGGUUGGCUGUUUUUGGCAAAAUUUUAUGUUGCAUAUAUUUUAUAUUUAUUUCAACACUUCGUUUAUUAUUAGAGGGCUCAUCAAAAGGAAUAAGUUUUAUUAUUAGAUUUAUUGGUUUUUAAUUUCCUUUGCCAAUUAGGUUUUCUUUAGAAACAAAGGGAUAAGAUUGCUAGGCUGCUUUACUCUAGUACAAAUAAGCUAUUAAGAGACUCAUGUAUUCAAUUUUUUAUGCAUAUAAUUACAGACUUUAGUCUCUACAGUUUCUUUUAGGAUAUUUUACCUAGAACUCAGUUAUCUUCAUUCUAACUUCUAUGCUAUAGCUUUAUCAUUUUCUUAUAUGUAUUUUGGGACAGGUUGGUUCACUAGACAACAAC